rnacentral:lncRNA from 1 species
GUAUACAGCUACUUGUCUUGUGUAUUGACUGACUAAUUGUAGUUAGCAUGGCACGUCAGGCAGACCGUCUUGCUAAGAUUGGGCUGGAGGGCUUUGCAGCCAUAGAUGAGGCCAAGAGGCGGCCACCAGUUAUGAAGGUUCCCUAUGCUCAUCCCACAUAUUACUAUGCAAACCAAAUUCCUGCAACAGCAGUUAUCGACAGCAACGAGGCAGCUCGACGCUACAAGGGGAGGGUUUAUAUCGAUUAUCCAAAGGGGAAACCAGUUCCAUUUUAAAGACCCAGUGAUUAAUCACUUUGCUUUCUUGUAUGCAUAAUCUCCUCCACUUGUGUUACCUUUAGUCCUGUACGAUAUUCUCCCUCUGCUAAACGUAGACGAGGAGCUUCUCUUACUUCUUCAAAUAAAAUUUCUGUGAUUUAUAUAUCAUAAUUUUCUAUUUGGCUGGUCAAGUAUGUAUUGUCAUAAUUAUCUUUCUGACUUCCUAAUUAUCACCUGAUUCACCUCUUACUUAGCAUGGAAUUGAAAGAUACACAAGUAAUUUUCUGUUGAAAUGCUUUGAAGCUCUUCAAGCUGUGAUUUCACCGACUUAUUUCGGAACUGUACAGAGCUCAAUGAUGAGCCGUGGGAAGCGUCUCUGAUUAUUGCACUGUAAGCACGAGUGUACGUAUGAAUAUAAACAGCAGAUCUGCUCCGUUAUUGCCAUAUGCUUAAAUAGAUCGCAGGAUCCGCAAACCACAGGUGAUGACAAGCUUCUUAAUAACUAUUAGAAAAUAAUAUAAAUCAUAUCUUGGACCCUCAUCUAACAACUUAAAUUUUUGGGUUGAGAUGGUUUUUUGAUAUGGUAUCAAAGCCUUGAUAACCAAGUAGUCAUAAGUUCAAAUCUCAUCAUUCUUAUUUAUUUAAUAAAAAUUAAGCACAGGGUAAAGUGGGUCUGUGCAAGUUUCAAACCUAAAAGGCUUUCACUCGAGGAGAUGUGUUAAAGAAUAAUAUAAAUCAUAUCUUAAGACCUCACCUAAUAAAUUAAAUUUUUGAAUUAAGAUGGUUCUUUACAAUAACUUCUAUUCUGACUUCAAUAGUGGAUUUAAGGAUAGAAAACCUGUAGGUUUGUGGUCAAGGAGGUUGGCUCUCUUCCUUAUAUUUUUUAUUUCAAACUUUAAUAACAAUACUCAUAUAAAUUUAUUUUUUCUGAAUGAAACUUGUUAAUACAAGAGUGUUAUUUUGAUGAAAAAGAAAAAUCUUAUUUUUAUCCCAUCACACCCCACCUAAGAAAUUAUGUAAUUAGUUAUUUCUAUAAGCUGUUCCAGAGAAUAUAGUCUUAAAUCAUUAUAUUUUACGACUCAUGAUUGUUUUUUUAAUAUAGCUGGGCUAAGAAAGAAAAAUAAACGGAGUUCUAUCUGCAUUUACAAUAGAAUUUUACAAUAGUGAACAAUAUAUCUAGGAAUAUCAGCGAUGAUGACCAUAGAUGGAUCAUGUGUGAAUUCUUAGCAAAUCAUUACUUGUAUAACCAAAAUUUCCUUCACAGCUCUUUUACUAAGCUGAUUGUCGAUGAAAAGUAAAGGAAAAGCAUGAUUCCCAAUCCGAGCUAUGUGAGCAAGUGUAUCUAGUAAAAAUAUCUCAUCUCCCAAGAAAACGAGAUUAGUAAGCCUCCCUUUAAAGCUUUGCUUUGCACACCUUUUCUUGAUCUUUCCCAAUCCUUCAUUAUAAAUGGGACCCAUCAAAAACAUGAGAUGUGCUUUAACCUCCUCCAUAUUUCAUCUUAGCCUAGAAGGAUAAACAAGAAUAUUAUUGCUUCUGAAACAUAACGAUUGCAAGCAUCGCCUUUCGGUGAACUUUUGAUGACAUGAAACUGCCACAAAUUGGGUCCUAUUCCGAGUGAGUUUUCUUUUUCUGCUCUGUUAUCGCAUAUAUACAACUGAAAUCUUUAAGUCCUCUUCAGGGUACCCCUGAAAGAAAAUGGUCUAUCAUGGAAAGUCCUGAGGAAUCUGAGGCAUAUAAUAUGAGAUAUAUAUCGUCCCAAGAUCAUAAAAAUGAUAAAUCUUAAUCUUAUCAGGUGUAGCCAUGAAAUGGGAUCAGAACCUAUUUUCCUAAUUUUAUUAACUAAAGGGAAAGCCACAACCAAGUCUCUGUACUAUAUGAUUGUCCAUUAAUACAGAAUCUAGCACAUCCUUGAGUAGCUAAAGAAAGCUAGAAUAAAGUACCUCUAGCAACAUCUUCACUGUUUAUUUUCUAAUAGUUUUGUUUUGUUAAAUCGCACUUGAAAAUACAGAACCUGUUCUUGAUAUUUCAUGGACAAUAUUUACUCUAGUUGUGCAAGUAACGUAUACACAAAUACCUGUAAUAUUGCAUCAAAAUUCAAACUAACAACAGUAUGUGUAUACUUGUGGAUAUGGAAUCAGCCAGAAGUGGAGAACCCCAUAAAUCUUGAAAACCUCUGUUGAUUGUGAUGGGUCCAAAAAGCAGAAAGCAAGUUACAAGCUGCCUGCUUUCUGCUAAUAUAUAUAAUGCUGCAUAUAUGACCUAUUUUGUACCAAGGCAAACCAUACAGUUUUAAUUGUUCUUUGAGUUAUAGUGUUAAUUUCACAUAUGGCACGUCAGGUAGAUCGUCUCACAAGGAUUGGAAUGGAAGGCUUUGCUCUGAUUGAGAAUAGUUAUGGCUGGCCUGGAAGGUCUGGAAGACUCCCCUCAACUCAGGUACAGCAAAAUCAUCAUCACUAUCAUCAUCAUCAUCAUCAUCGUCAAUACCAAGAUCAGCAAACAUUGGUUUAUCAGGGAACUCAAAUUACCACGGUGAGGAUGCCUGUGAUCAUUAGCAAUGAGGUAGUUCAAUACUAUGGUAACAUGGUGAAGAAGCCUGUUAUUCCUAGCAAUGAGGCAGCUCAAUAUCAAGGGGGUGUGGUGAAAGAGCCUGUUAUCACUAGCGAUGAGGCAGCUCAAUAGGAUGGUAGAAAGAAACGAUUUCGUUUAGAUUAUUAGGUUUCAUGAAUUUACUGAACAUGCUUAAUGUCAUGUAUGAGUAAUCUGAGUCACUUGGUUCUUAAAUCUCCUGGUUUCUUACUCAUAGAUAAAGCAACUUGGUCUGCUAAAGAACCUUGUAAAUUUUAUCUUUAGAGCUCCUGUUGUCACGCAGUUUUCUUAUCUAUAACGUAAUCAGCUUUACUGUAACUCUUUAUGUCUCUCUCUCUCUCUCUAUUUUUGUGUGUGGGUUGUGAUGAUCUUUCUUACUUCUGAUAAGCCAAAUGAUUCUCAAAGCACACCUUGGAAAACAACAGCUAAGGCAAGGCGAAAUGAAAGCUAAAGCUAGGAAUUAAAGAACAAAACAACAUAGAAUAUGAAGGAAAAAAUGAAUAAAAAAACGAAACAACAGAAUUAAAAAAAUAAAAAAUUAAAACAAAAGGAAAUUAGCCAAAAACAAUUGGAAGAAAAUUACUAUGGUAGGAGUUUAUGUUAAAAGAAAGAUAGGUGUUGUAUAAUAUCAAAAAUAGUAAUGCAAAGUCAAAACUCAAUAAGAAGAAGAAGAUUGAGAGAAACGUAUACUUUUAUUAAGUGUUUCUCUCUAAACUCUUUUAGUUAUUCUCUCUGCUUUUAUUCUUUUUAAAAAUGCUAAAUUACAAGUCUUUUAUAGGUAUAAAGUCCUAGAUAAUCAAGGAAUUAAACUAAUACAAGGAAAUUCUAAUAUGAACAAAAAUUGUAUUCUGCCUACUAGCUAAAUCAGUCGACUAGUUCCCAACCAGUGGAUCGGUUCCUCUAUUCUUCAUAAAAACAAGAAAUCGAGUUCAAUUUUCAAAACCCCUUUCUAAACUUGAUUUCUUCAUAACUCGCACAAAUCUCUUAUUUUGGUAAAAACAUCAUAUUCAACUGGUUUUGUGAAAAUAUCUGCAACUUGCUCUUGUGUCUUUACAUACUUGGCUUCAACUUCUUUGUUUGUAAUGCAAUCUCUUAGGUAAUGAAAUCUUGUGUCAAUGUACUUAUUUCUGUCAUGAAAAACUUGAGUUUUAGCUAAGGCAAUAGCUAAUGAGUUGUCCACAUAAAUCUAUGUAGACUUCUCUUAUGGGAUCCGUAAUACUUUCAGUAAUCUUAUUAGCUAUAUGGAAUGACAAACACAUGAUGUAGUAGUUAUAUAUUUAGUUUCACAUGUUGAUAAAGUGACUAUAGAUUGCUUUUUUAAACACCAUGUGAAUGUUGUGUCUUCCAUGUAGAAAACAAAACCAAUAGUGCUCUUUUUAUCAUCCAUAUCUCUAGCUCAAUCACUAUCAUUGCAACCCACAAUAUCAAAGCUAUUAGAAUAUCCAUAAAACAAGCCAAAAUCAACAGUACCUUUGAUAUACCGAAGAACUCACUUCAAAGCUUUGAAGUGUGUCAUAGUUGGUGUAUCCAUAGACCUACUCCCAAGUUCUACUCCAAAAAGAACAUAUGAACAAGUGCAUGUCAAAUAUCUCAAACUCCCAACUAGGCUUUUGAAUGUUGUAGAGUUUAUCUUCUCCUCUUCAUCAUUCUCUAUUAUCUUCACUCCACACUCAACUAGAAUAUUCUUUUUCGCACAAUCUUUCAUCUUGAACUUCUUGAGAAUCUCUUGGCUUACAAAGAUUCCAUCUUCUCCUUGUUUGAUCUCAAUCCCUAAGUAAUAUGUCAUAAGACCAAUGUCUAUCAUUUCAAACGCCUUGAUCAUUGUUUGCUUGAAGUCUUCAAACAUCUUUGGAUUAUUUCCUAUAAAGAUUAAGUCAUCCACAUACAAACAUAUAAUAAGAGUAUCACCACUCUCUUUGAUCUUUACAUAGAUAGCAUAUUCAUAGGAACAUUUAACAAAUGCAUUCUUUAAGAAAAAGCCAUCAAAGUGACUAUAGCAAGCCCUUGGGGUUUGCUUCAAUCCAUAUAAGACUUUGUUCAACUUUAGUACCUUGUCUUUAUGUCCCUUCACUUCAUAACUCAUAAGUUGCUUAAUGUAGACCUUCUUCUCAAGAAAACCAUUAAGAAAGGCUGAUUUGACAUCCAUUUGAUAGAUUCUCCAUCUAUAUUGGGUAGCUUUGGCAACGAUUAAUUGAACGGUCUCCAAUCUAGCAACGAGAGCUAAAACCUCAUCAUAGUCAAUCUCAUACUUUUAGCUUUCGCCUUUUUUCCACUAACCUUUCUUUGUACCUCUCCAUUUCUCCUUCGGCAUUCUUCUUUUCUUUAUAGAUCCACUUGACACCUAUUAGCUUCUUUCCAUUUGGUCUACGAACCAAUUUCUAUGUGUCAUUCUUCUUAAUUGAUGCAAGCUUCUCAUCCAUAGCGAUUCUUCAUUUUUCAUCCUUUAUUACUUCUUCAAACAUUAUAGGAUCACUUGUAGCAAGGUGAUAAUAUAGUGUUACAUCAUCAUCAAUAGGAGUAGUUACCUCAUAUAGCUCAUCAAGGCUCCACAUUCUUUUUGGUGGACUUGAUGGGUUGCCACUACUUGAACUUUCAUUAGAAAAAAAAAAAGAAAAGAGAUAAAGGUAAAGAUGACACCAUUGGUGAUUAUGGAGGUGUAGUUUGUUCUUGAUGAUCUUCAUAUCUCUCCUUCCCUUUAUCAGAACAGACAAGGCUUCAUCUUCUUCUUUCUUCUUCUUUUAUCUUCUCUCACAGGGCCAUUUCUUUUUCUUUCUCUUCUCUUCUCUCUAUCUCUCCUUCUUAGCUAAAAACAAGCAUUCUAUUAUCUUCUCAUCCUCAAGUACGUUGUCUUUUUUCAUUUUCUUUGGGUUUAAUAACAAUCUAUUUUCUUUUGUUUUGUUUUUCUUUUUUUUUUCCUUUUAAUUAUCAGUCGAAAUUAAGCAUACCAUUAAGGUUGGAAUUUUUCAUUCUUUUCUCUUCCCCUUUUUAUGUUUUUUGCAAUAUUUUUGUUUUUUGUCAUUAUUUUUGUUCAAUUUUGUGUUCUUAAUAAUUUUAUGAAUUAAUAAAUGUGUUGAAUUUUAGUUGUUAUUGAAAUAUUGCAUUAUUUUGUUGAAUUUUAGCUAUUUUUUUUUCAAAUUUGUUGUUCAAUUUUAAUUAAAUGUGUAGGAUUAAUUUUAAUUAUUAUUUUGUAUUUAUUCCAUAUAGAAUAAUUUUUUGUAAAUUUAGGAUUAAAAAUAUUAUAACUUAGAAAUAAUUGUGUUGAAUUUUAGUUGUUAUUAUAAUAUUUUUUGCAUUAUUUUGUUGAAUUUUAGUUGUUUUUCUUUUCAAUUUUGUUGUUCAAUUUCAAUUAAAUGUGUAGGAUUAAUUUUAAUUUUUGUAAAUUUGAAAUAUUUUUUUUUAAAUUUAGGAUUAAAAAUAUUAUCAUGUAGAAAAUGAAAAUUUUCUAUGAAAUUUAAUUAUGCUAAAUUGUUAGAAGAAAUUGAAUAAAAAUACCAGGCCUAGUGGAAGAAAUAUGUUGUGUAUUUGUAGGUUUAAAACUUUUGGGUAGUCUUCUGUGUAGGGGAGGUGCUGCCAAUUGUUUUUAAAAAAAAUACGAAUCAUUUAAUUUUUUUUAUUCAUUAAUUUGUGUAGAUGCCUAUAGAAAAGUCUAAUGCACGUCAUGAGGACAAGAUUGCUGCUAGUUCUUCUAGUAGCGAUGCUGACGACCACGAGUCAUUAGGUGCCAAUAAAAAAUAGGAACUUGAGGCACAUGCAUCAACUCACGACGCGGGCUUGUCGAGUGCAAUGUUGCAACGUCGAGGGGGGGUCCCUUCACAAUGGGAUCCAUUUACUUGCAAGUAUGAGGCCUAGUGGAAGGACGACCUUUCAAUGUAAGUUUUGCUUUCGCAAUGACAUGUUUAAUAAAUUUUCAAAAAAUAAUUUCAUUUAAUGAAUGCAAUUUCAGGUUUAUAAAUAUUGAGGCUGCGAGAACAAUAACAUCGAUCUAAAAUCAUCGAUAGAAAUUUCAUUGUUUUAAUGGAGCUAGGUUUCCAAACAUCCUGAAUGGAAACUGCAGCUCAUUGCAUGAUUUUCAAGGUUCAAGGUUGGUAGUAACUUAAAUAUUUUUUUAUGUUAAUUUGGUUAGUUUAUUGAAAUUAUUGAAUUUUUUCUGAGAGAGUUGGAAAAGCAUUACUGCAAAUAUCACUUCUACUAUUAACUCAUCGACGAAAUUACAGAUGGUAUUCUAUCGGUGAUAUGUUAUAUUUAUCGAUGGAUAUACCGAUGCACAAAUAAAAACACUGAUGACAUUGCAUACAGUAUUCCUGUUUGUGAUAUGUUAAAUUUACCAAUGGAGAUACUGACGGAAUAAAACAGAUAAUUUUUUUUUGGCGUGCUUUGUUUGUCUAUAAAUUCAUUGGUAUAUUUAUUACCGAUGGACUCACCAACAAACCAUAAAUUAUUGGCGAGAGUUUUUUCGAUGGACUGUCUCCAUCCGUGAGCCCGUUGACAAUAUACAUACCAAUGGACUGUGAGUGUGAAUACUGACAAAAAUUUCUGUUAGUAAAAUUGUUAAAUCUAGUAGUGAUUGCAUGAUCCACCGCUAGAAGUGAUGAGUACAAGUUAUGACCAUUUUAAGUUGUUGUUUCUGGUCUGACAUGACUAGACCUUCUCUUGGACCUAGACUUGUCCUACUAGUCUAUAAAUAUAUAUGUUAGAACAUCCAUAUAAUCUGUCUAGAGCAGAUACUCAUCUAAUUGUGGCAGACCCACAUAUGAUAGCUCAGAAUCACCUGUUAUUGCAAGCCCAACUACAUCAUUAAUGGUUUCUCAAGGUAAGUCAUGAGGAAUUUGAAGCAUAUAAAAUGAUAUAACUUGUCCCAAUAUCAUAAAAAUGUUAAAAAAAUGUGAGUAUAUGAACCCAUGAAGCGGGAUCAGAAUCUAUUUUCCUAUUGUUAUUAACAAAACGGAAAGCCAUAACUAACUGUUUGUACUAUAAUAUUGGGAGUGAGAGGUACAAUGUCCAGAAUGCUUCUAAGGAUAACCAUAUGUCCAUAUCCAUAAGAUCUCAAUCGAUUGCCCCUUACUACAGAAUCUAGCACAUCCUUAAGUAAAUAAAGAAAGCUAGAAUAAAGUGCCUUCACUGAUUAUUUAGCAUUACUGAGCAGGCCAAGUCUUCACUGCUUAUUUCCUAAUAAUUCCUUAUUGUGGAAUUGCACUUACAAAUAAAGAACUUGUUAUUGAUAUUUUCGUACAGAAUUUCUCUCUCGAUUAGUCGGUCAAUAAUGUAACUUCGUUUAUUCGGAUUUGAGGCCGGCCAUGAGAUGGAGAGGUUGUGUCACAUUAAUUAUGUCAUGUUAUAUGGAAUCAGAUUCACCAUUAUUAAACUAAAGCGUCUCAUCGAUUCUACGAAACUUGUCGAAAGGAAUCAUUUGUUCAAUAAUUGAAUGCGAUUUUUAUCGGGUUCACCUGACGAUCCAACCUCCAUCCACAAAUCCGGAUCGAAUUCCGAAUGGGUCAAAAUAUCGUCCCCGUAUCUCUCCCUCAACCGAUUAUUAUAGGUCUCCUGAAAAUAAAAAAAGUAAUCAUCAUAUUCAAUUCAAUAAACAUAAUAACUUACAAAAUAAAAUGGUUGAACAAACAUACCAUGAAAUGUUGAGCACGGUUAUCAACGAACUGUUGCGCCCCCUUUUGGCGGUCUUGACUCCGCACGUGCGUCUCCACAAACAGCUCCAUCGGGCUUGGCUCACGUCCAAGAGACGUAGCCUAUAAUGAAAAAAGAUUUAUUAACAACUUAAUUUAACGAUAUAUUUCAUUUAAAUUAAUCUUACCAUCCGUUUCGCAUGUGUAGCAAACGGAACGGAGCCGCCAGUGUGCGUUGUUACUGAGCCAUGAAUUGGCCGAUUCCGGUUGCCAACACCGGACUGUGAGCGUCGUGUAAACCGCUCAGACAUCACGUGCUCAAGAUAGUGCGGCCAUAUAUCUUUUGGGAUGUAUAUCGGUUUGAAAUUCCUCCAAACCGUAACAUCGUUCCAGCCUUGGAAACCCCUAUCUCUAGCGGUUUUUUUUGCCCUUUUUUGUGCUUCAUACCAAAAAUCACGCAACCAAAAAUUACAUUUCGAAAGAUAAAUUUUUGUCUAAAAAACAUCUUGUAUUGUUUUCGAUGUUACCUAGUUGCCGCGUGAUUUUCCCACACCCUCCUCGCAACAGUGUUAUGCUCACUGUCCCAGCAGAAUUUGUCCUGUGUAUAAAUAAUUAAUUUUAAAUAAAAAUAAUAAUUUAUUUACAAUUAUAUUAAUAAUUUAUUAGAAAUAAGCUGAAAAUUAUAAAUUAACACCAACCUCAAAUUUGUCAAACCAUGCAUUGAUUUGAGGCAUCCAUUCAGGAUGCUUGGAUAUCUGACUCCAUUGAAACAAUGGAAUCUUCAUCGACGAUUUAAACGCCGAUGAUAUUACUCGGGCAGCCUCAAUGUUUGUGAACCUGAAAAUAAAUGAAAUAAAUUCAAUAGUGAUUACUUCAUAAGUUAUGUUGUAAUUUUUUUUAAAAAAAAAAACUAAAACCUUAACAAACUUACAUUGAAAGGUCGUCCUUCCACUGUGCCUCGUACUUGCGGGUAAAUUGAUUCCGCUGCGAAGGCACGCCGCCUCUGCCCUGUGAAGUAGCGCUGGAAGAGGCAGCAUUGGUUGACGACGCAGGUGGUGUAGGUGCCUCUUCUUGAGAGGCACCUAAGGAAAUAUCAUCCUCGCUGCUAGACGAACUAGUUGCGACCAUACGUGAGCGACCAGCUUUGGUUUUCAUUCUACGCACCUACACAAUUUUAUACAAAUAAUUAUAUAAUUAAAUUCAAAUGUUAAAAAAAAAUUCGACAGCAUCUCCCCUAUACUGGAUACUACCCAAAUCUACAAACCUGCACAUAUUAACAAUAGCCACAACCAAUUGACCCAAUCUAUACUAACUAUUCCAACAUAUUCAAUUACUAAUCCUAAGGUAAUUCAACAUUAAGAAUUACAAUUCAACAAAUUAUUCAAUAAUUAUGCCAAUACAACAAUAAAAUAUAUUCAAUAAAUAAAUAAAAACUCUAGACUAACAAUUAAAAUUAAUGGAAAAAAUUAAACAUAAAUCAUGCAAUAAUAGAGUAAAAUUAACAAUUAUUUCAAAAUAUUCAAUUACUAAUACUAAGGUAAAUUCAACAUUAACAAUUACAAUUCAAAAAAUUAUUCAAUAAUUAUGCCAAUACAACAAAACAAUAAAUUCAAAAAAAACUCUAGACUAACAAUCAAAAUAAAUGGAAAAACUUAAACACAAAUUAACUAAUAAUAAUUAUGCCAACACAACAAUAAAAAAUAUUCAAAAAAUUCAAAAAAAAAACUAUAGACUUUAGGAAUCAAAUAUGCUUACUUUAAUAAUGUGUUGAAUUCAAUACUUUAUCUACAUUACAAAAAAUACACCAAAACAAAAAACAUAACAAAAAAAAAUAGCAAAAAAAAAACCCCUAAAGUAAAAUGAAAUAGAAGACACACAUACCUUUUAAACUGAUGAAGAUUCACAAGAAAACUUGCUAGAGAUGGUAGGUGAAAGCUUUGAAGAAUGGAGAGGAAAAAAAUCGAAAUUUAAGGUGAAAAACGGAGGAGAAGAAAAAAUGAACUGAAGGGGCGGUCGCUGGAACUUAUAUGGCAGUUUUACCGACGGAUUCACCGAGGGAUAUAAAAUUAAUUAUUAUUUUAAUUUAUUCUGUCAGUGAAGUGUCAAAAAUCCGUCGGUAAUUUUUAAAUUUCGCACCAAAAUUUUUAAUGACCCUCCAUAUUUUUCGUGGUCUGUCGGUAAUUUCGUCGGCAAGAUGACGCGGUCAGAGAUGCAUUUAAUGCACAAUCUUUUGGAAUUCGCACAGUCCGUCGGCAAUUUUGUCGGUAAAAUUGACCUGCCGACAACUUACCGACGGACUUAUAUCCGUCGGUAUUGUCGUCAGUGAUUGUGGCAUUUCAAGUAAUUAUUUUCGAACUCUCUGUGAAAUGCCGACGGACUUAUUCUGUUAGUAUGGACGUCGGUGAUUGUGGCAUUUCAAGUAAUUAUUUCAAGUAAUAAAUAUUUCAUGUUACAAAAUAUAUCAUUCAUAAUCUAAAUUACAUGAAAAAAGGGGUUUUACACAGGGCUUCAUUUUGAUAGUUAGUCAGAAUUUUCUUCUUCUUUGUCCUCAAUUGAAUAGUCAUCACCUUUAUCGCAAUCUUCAAUAUGGAUAUCAUCUUCUUCAUCGACAUUUGCUUGUCCGCUAGAGCUCAAAACAGCAUUCAACUCCUCUACGUGAACAUCAACAAGACUAUCAUCGAAAACAUGAAAAUUUGAAUUUUCUUCCAAUUCAAUCGAAUGAGCAACUCAAUAUGGUUCAACCACCUCACUAACUUGAAAGACUUCAUCUCGCACACUUGUGUCUUCGUUCUCAUCCUGAACAACCUCGACACGACCCCGGGGUUUUGUUUUUAAAACGGACAACCAAUCCACUCUUGAUCGAUCCUUUCUAAAUGAAGGGGUGUAUGUGUAAUAAACUUGUUGACAUUGCUUUGCGAAAACAAAGACAUCGUUUUUGUUGCGGAGUCUAGCUUUUGAGUUGAUUUCGACCAGACCAUAGUGCGGAUCAACUCUGAUUCCUCUGUCAGUCGUGUCAUACCAAUAACAUUUGAAUAAAAACACUUUAUUCUACUCGUUAUGAUAUUGCAGUUCGACGACCUCUUCUAAUCUACCAUAGUAGUCAACUUCUAACUCACUACUAGUGGAUCCCUUAACACAAACACCGCUGUUGUAUGUCUUUCUUCCUUGCCCGUAUUCUUCAGUAUGGAAAACAUAUCCAUUGACAAAAUACCCGUUGUAGCACUUACAUUUUCUUUCAGGCCCCAGGCUUAGUGAAGACAAUGACUUAGGCGCACUCCUUCCCAUUUGAUAAACCUUGUAUGUAAUGUACAUCAAUAAAUAGUAAAUGAACGAGAAUCUCAUAAUGACAUGCAUACGUACAGUAAUUUUGCAAGUUAGAAUGAGUUUGUGAUAGUGCUUACAUGUGUUCUAGACCACGUGACAAAGUGUUCAUCUUGUAAUUGAAAGAUCUGGGAUUCGGUCAGCUAUGAGUUAUUGGAGAGCAAAUAUUGUCGAUGUUGCCUGCAAGUGAUAAUGAGUGUAUGAUAUUAUAAUAAAUAAUUAAUAGUAUAUUACUAACAAAGUUUAAUUACUAUACACAUAUAUAUAUAUAAACCUUACUGAAUAAAAGGUCUCAGCUCAUCACAGUUAAAUAUAACAUAUUUGUGUGCUUAUUUGAACUCUAUUUCCGACAAAUAUCUUCCUCUUACGCCAUUUUUAGGUGUGGGUCGUCCAGUGUUAGAGAAUAUUGACAAGUUUCCACUGGAAGGCACUUCACCGCCAUCAUCAUACCGUGGAACGCGAUUGAUUCUCAUUCUUAGAUGAGGUUCGAAAUAGUACGAUAUAAAUGUUGAGAUCUCCUCAACAAUAUAGGCCUCACAUAUCGAAGCCUCAACGUGCGCCUUGUUCUUAACCUUUUUCUUGAGAUUAAACAAGUACCUGCAUUGAAUUAAUCAAGUAUUUUCAAUUAAGAAAAACAUAGAAAAUACUUUUAUAUAUGAAUUACAUUGCAACUGUAAUAUCUAACAGUUCGAAUGGGUACAUCCAUCUAUAUUGGACCGGUCCUCCAGCUUUUGCCUAGAACGGUAGAUGUAUAGGGAGAUGCUCCAUUGAGUCAAAAAAUGAUGGAGGGAAUAUCAUCUCAAGUUUGCAUAGUGUCUCAACGAUAUUCGUUUGAAGCCUCUCAAUGUGCUCAACAUUCAACUUGCUGGAGCAUAUAUCUCUGAAGAAAUGACUGAUCUCCGUAAGUGCAUCUCAUAUUCCCUUUGGCAACAAAUCACGAAAAGCUAAUGGGAUGAGUGUUUGCAUAAACACGUGGCAGUCAUGACUCUUCAUUCCAUACAAUCUGCAGUCCUCUAUAUUAACCAGCCUUGAUAUGUUUGAUGCAUGUCCAUCUAGAAAACGUAGACUCUUAAGCCAUUUAUAGACUAGCAGUUGUGCGUUUUUCUCUAACACGAAGCUUGCUCUUGGUUUUGCGACCUGUGACUCAUCAUAAAACAACUCCAUAUUUUUACGGUUACAGUAUAAAGCUAUAUCCAAUCUAGCCUUGAUGUUGUCCUUUGUCUUCCCCUUCACAUCCAUGACGGUGUUGAAAAUGUUCUCAAACACGUUCUUUUCGAUGUGCAUGACGUCAAGGUUAUUGCGGAGCAUAUUGGUCUUCCAAUAAGCAAGCUCCCAAAAGAUACUUCGCUUUACCCAAUUAUGGGUCAAACCAAAACCAGGAAACUUUUGCUUACCUGAUUGAAGGCCAAACACAAUGUCACCGUACUCUGAUACAACAUCAUGCAAUUCUUCACCAGAAAGACGCGGGGAUGCAACAUCUUUUUCAACUCUGCCAACAAAGAAAUCUUUUCUGUUCUUUCUAUACCUGUGAUUAAGUGGCAAGAAACGACGGUGACAGUAAAAAAAAGAAGCUUUACCUCCGUUUGCUAGCGUGAAUGCCUUGUUGUUUUCCAUGCAGUAUGGACAUGCGAGUUUCUCAUGCGUGCUCCAACCAGAAAGCAUUCUAUAAGCUGGAAAAUCAUUGAUAGUCCACAUCAAAGCAGCCCUCAUAAGGAAAUUUUGUUUCCUCGAUAUAUCAUAAGUCAGAGCUCUGGAGGACCACAACUGCGCCAACUCAUCAAUCAACGAUCGAAGACAAACAUCUAUAUUCCGCCCUGGGCUGCUUGGACCGGGUAUGACAGUAGAUAAAAACAUGAACUCCGGCCUCAUACACAUUCCCGGUGGCAAGUUAUAAACUGUGAGUAUGACCGGCCAACAAGAAUAAGGAGCAGCAAAUGACCCAAAUGGGUUGAAUCCGUCUGUACACAACCGAAGACGCACAUUCCUUGAUUCAGCUGAAAAGUGAGGAUGAAGACUGUUAAAGCAUUUCCAUGCUUCGCCAUCAGAAGGAUGCACCAUCACUCUAUCAACCGCAUUAUGUGCUUGGUGCCAUGUCAUGUGCUCAGCAGUCCUUGGUGACAUGAAUAACCUCUACAGUCUAGGUGUGAUCGGGAAGUAUCUAAGUUUUUUAUAUGCCACUAGAGUCUUUCCCCUGCCAGUUCUCGGUUUGUAACGGGAAUGCCCGCAUGUCAUGCACUCUGUCCUCUCAGCAUUUUCAAGGUAGUAUAACAUGCAGAAGUUAGGGCACAUGUCAAUUUUCUGGUAUCCUAAACCGAGGGGUUUCAUCAUGGACUUCGCAGCAUAGAAGUUCUCUUUCAGCCUGUCCCCUUCAAGUAAAAUUCUUCUCACCCAUUCAAUAAUGUUGUCAUACCCGACCUCACUCAACCCGUGAUCUGACUUGAUGGUGAACACCUGUGCUAGGGCCGAUAAUUUACUGUGGUUCGUGCAGCCAUCCCAUAAUGGUUCAUCAGAAUCUUUCAACAAAUCAAAAAACCUAGCUGCAUCUGCAUUAGGUUCUUCUUCUACGAUUCGACAUUGACUGACAUUACCUUGAUUCAUUCUCAUUGCAUCCAUAACUAUAUUUAUGUAAGGAUUAGUGUUGUCAUUUGCCGCUUCAUGCACGUUGCUAGCACUAGAAGUAGACCCAACCACCGUUUCUCCCAUUCUCCUCUUACUAACAAAUACUUCUCCAUGUGCAUACCAACACUGGUAAUUCUCCAUAAACCCUUUGUGUAGAAGAUGCAUCAUUACAACAUCUGGAUGCAGAUAUUUUUUAUUUUGACACUUCCUGCAUGGACACCUAAUACCGCCUCUAGUAAAAUUUAUCGGAAUAGAUGUUGCGAAAUUAAUAAAACCUUGAACCCCGUUACAAUAAUCAAUCCUCCGCAAUCCUUGGGGUGAAUCUCAAUACAUCCAUGAACGAUCAUCCAUGACUUAUAUCGAACCUCUAUAAAAUUAUGAUGACAUCAUGUAUUAAUUAACUAAGUUAGGUAAAUAAACUUGUAAAAAUAUUACUUUACCUCGAGAUUAUCCAACAAACCAAUCACAACUUCUCAUAAAUAUUAAAUAUUCAUUAUCAUUUAUCAACGUCCAUACAAAUUAAUAUAUAUAAAUUUACAGAAAUUACCACUCUGCAAUACCAUUAAUAAAACUUUAAACAGACCCAUUAAGCAAGCUAUUAAUUAUUUCAAAACAACACAUGUAAUUCAGUAAUUCCAUAAAGUUUUAACAAUUUACAAACAAAUACAAUCUUACAAAAUCUAAAACAAACCAUAACAGGUAUAGAAUUAUACAUUCAUAUACUACAAGUUUGUUUGAGAAAUAACAAUAAAACAUGUACAUCUACUAACAAAAUACAUAUACUAAAAAAACAAUAAAAUUGACAUUUAAAUGUUAAAAUUUAAAAAGAUAGAAUUACUUACAAAAAUUGAUAAAAUCCGUCGGUAAAUCAGAAUAUGGAUGUUGUGACCACAAAACUUUCAAGAAAUAUAACUUGUUGUGCUGAGAUGAGGGAGAUUUUUGUUUGGGGGGGGGAGGGGGGCUGGUUGUUUGCAGAUGGGGAGAGUUGGGAUUAGGAAGAAGAAGGAGAAAUAGGGGAGGAGAGGGUCGGUAGAGAGGGCAUUUAUUAACUUUUUCCGACGGUUUCACCGAUGAAAUUAUCAAUUGAUGAGUCCGCCAGCUAUUCUGACGGAAAAAUCGACACGUCACCGUAUGGAUCUUCCAUUUCGAAUCCCUCGGUGAUUCCGUCGGUAUUUCAAGCAGUGAACCGGUCACGUCACCGUACGGAUCUGCCAUUUCGAAUCCCUCGGUGAUUUCGUCAGCAUUUUAAACGGCGAACCGGUCACGUCACUGUGUGGGGUUGUCGUUUUGAAUCCGUCGGUAAAAAUAACCCCGCCAAAACCUCUACGUUUGCGACCCGCCUUUUUUUUUAAAUUCAAAACGUUUUCCGUCCGUAAUUCAGUCGGUAACUACCGACGGACACUUGUUGUCGGUAGUUACCGACUGAAUUACGGACGGAAAGGUUUUUGUCGGUAAUUUCGACCUCAAAUUACUGACAGAAAUAUUCCGUCGGUAAAUCCGUUGCUAUUGAGUGAAUUUCUAGUUGUGAAAGGGGCGCAUACGUACCACCCAUCUGUGAUCUCAAUCCAUGGCCAUUCUACGGGUUCAUCAUAAUCCGCAUAGAGUCGUUCAUAUUCUUCAAUGAGAUGGGUCGUAUGUUGUUCCAAGGUCGCGAACUCCUGAGACUGGGUGGUCAAUAUCGAUUGCAAGCUCCCAACGGUUGAGACACUACGGGCCACCUACAAGUUGGUCGUGGAGUUGGAGAGUUUGUACACCUGAUUUCUAUCGGGUCCACCAGAUGAUCCUGCCUCCAUCCACAAAUCCAGAUCGAAAUCCAAGUGGGUCGAAGGAUCGUUCCCGUAUCUCUCCCUCAAUCGGCUGUUAUAUGUCUCCUGAAAAUAAAAAAACUGAAAUCAUCAAAUUUAAUUCAAGUAAAUAAUAAUUUACAAAAGAAAAUGGUUGAACGAACAUACCAUAAAGUGUUGAGCGUAGUAGUCAACGAACUGUUGCACCUCUUUUUGGCAGUCUUCACUCUACACGUGCGUCUCCACAAAAAGCUCCAUUGGGCUUGGCUCACGUCCAAGAGCUGUAGUCUGUAAGAAAAAAAUGUUGCAAGUAAAAUAAAUUUAUAAAUAACAACAAAUUAAUUAAAGAUAAAUGUGAUUAAAAUUAAUUUUUUUGUUAUUUUUUAGGCUUUGUUUGGAAAAACAAAACCUAAUUUUUUUGUAAUAAAACUGUCGAAACAAGCAUAAUGGGGUGUUUGCCAAACACACCCUUAAACCAAAAAACCCUUUUAGCAAAAAUAUUGCAAGCUAAACAGGGUCUUAACCCUUUGACCCAUUCUUGACCCAUCUGGGUUGACCUGAUCGAGUUGACCUGACUGGGAUGACCCAAAAUCUUUGGUUUCAACCAUAAAUCGAACCAAAGAUCCUGGUUUGACCCGAAAACAACUCAAAAAGAAAACAAAAGCCAAAAAACAGAUUAAACACCAAAAAACAUGAAAAAACUCGAAAAUAACAAAUCAAAUGCAAAAAAAAAUGAAGAACACGAAUAACAUGAAAAACAUUAAAACUCAAAUUCUAGCAACAUGAAUUCUAAUCUAGACCAUAUUUCAGGAAAUAAAAAGCACAUAAAGGAUGGAAAUCAAUCAUUGAACAAUAAUUAAGCAUCAAGCAUCGAUGAUUAUCAACCAAUAAUCAUGAUUGAGUCAAAAUAGGUUUUGGUUCAAAACCAAAAUCCUAUGAUUAAAACCCCCAUAAAACUUGUUAUUGAUACAAAUGAACUCUAGACUACUAAUUAAUCAAGUCCAAUGAAGUGUUUAAUGCAAUGGACCAAAACUGGUCCAAAACAUAGAUAUAAGCCAAUGUUUUUCCCAAGAACAUAGAACACUGCCUUAGAAAACCCGGCUAUUGUCAAGCCACCAAAACUGGCAUUUUCGACCACUAAAACAUGCUUUCUUCGUUUCAAAAAGUCACACUACCAUAACCAAACAUGUUUGAAUAAAAAAACUAACAAAUAACAUUAAAAUCAUGCAAGAGGUUCCAAACUUCAAAACUACAAACUUAAAAUAGCCUAUAUAUUUAUGCAAUUUGGAUUCAAUUUUUUUUCCUAAACCUUCAAUAAGACCCAACCAAAACCUAGAAACUAAGAACAUGCAUCAGCCAACAUAAAAAAACAUCAUAACCUUGCUACCACAUCUAGUAGAUUUCAAAAGUACUUUAUUUCAUCAAAACUCAUCCAACAAACAUCACCUAAGUAUUCAGAGACAUUAACAAACAACUCAAAUCAAGAUUUAAACAAUAAAACAACUUUUUUAUGUAUUAAUCAAAAUCAAAACUAAAGAACAUCAUAACAGUAAAGCAAGUUUGAAAACAUCAUUAAACAUGUAAAACAAGUGACUCGACUAACUCGGAAGGAAGUUAAGUUUGAAUGGUCAAAAGAGUGUGAAACAAGUUUUCAAGAGUUAAAAUCCAGGCUAACUUCAACCCAGUAUUGGCUUUACCAAAAGGACAUGAGGGAUUUGUUAUGUAUAGGGAUGCUUCCAAUAAGGGUUUGAGUUGUGUAUUUAUGCAGCACGGAAGGGUAAUUGCUUAUGCAUCUAGAUAGUUGAAACCACAUGAGAUAAACUAUCAUGUACAUGAUUUGGAGCUGGCAGCUGUGGUGUUUGCUUUGAGGAUAUGGAGACAUUAUUUGUACGCGAUAUAGGAGAUGGAUGGAGCUAAUCAAAGAUUAUUACAGAUCACAAAAGUUUAAAAUAUUUGAUGUCAUAAAAAGAAUUGAAUAUGUGAUAUAGGAGAUGGAUGGAGCUAAUCAAAGAUUAUAAUUGUAUUAUUGACUAUCACCCGGGGAAAGCAAAUGUGGUGGUAGAUGCUCUAAGUCGGAAGAAUAAAGCUUUUAUUAGUGGUUUACUAGUGCUAAGUGAGCUAAAUGUGCAUUUGGAUGUGACUUCAGGAGGAAUAUUACUGGCAACAUUAGUGCUAUAAUCAGAUAUGAGAGAAAAGAUUCGAAAAGCUCAAGGUGAAGAUCCUGAAGUGAUAAAAGAAAUGAACAAUGUAAAAGUAGGCCAAGACUCUUUAUUUCGAGUGUCAAAAGAUGGGCUAGUUAUGGGAAACAUAAUAUAUUUACCUGAUGAUAAGGUUUUAAAAAGUGAAGUCUUAAAAGAAGCUCAUGAGUCUAAAUUGACGAUCCAUCUAGGGAGCACGAAAAUGUAUAGAGAUUUGAAGGAGAGUUACUGGUGGCCAAAAAUGAAAAGGGAGAUAACAUAAUACGUGGCCAAAUGUGCCAUAUAUCUACAGGUGAAUGUAGAGCAUCAAUGGCCGAUUGGAGAAUUACAAUCUCUUUCGAUUCCAGAAUGGAAAUGGGAGAAUAUCACUAUGAAUUUUGUAUCUAGCUGGUAAGGACUUGAUGCCAUAUGGGUGAUCGUGGAUAGACUGACAAAGUCUUCUUUGUUUUUGCCUAUGAAGAUAGGGGAUUCGGUUGAAUAACUAGCUCAAUUAUAUAUUAAAGAGGUGGUGAGAUUGCAUGGUGUACCAGUUUCUAUAGUUUUUGAUAGGGAUCCUUGGUUUACAUCAAGGUUAUGGCCGAGUAUACAAUGGGCUUUGGGUACCAUAUUGAAUUUAAGAAUGACUUUUCAUCCACAGACUGAUGGGCAAUCUGAAAAGACAAUUUAGAUUUUGGAAGAUUUGUUAUAGCUUGUAUUCUAGAGUUUGGAGGUCAAUGGGAGGAUCAUUUGCCAUUAGUAGAAUUUACUUAUAAUAAUAGUUAUCAAUCUACUAUUGGCAUGAAACCAUAUGAAGCAUUGUAUGAAAGGUGAUGUCGAACUACAGUACGUUGGGAUGAAGUUCGGGAAAGAAAAUUAUUGGGAUCUGAACUGGUGCAGAUCAUGGUUGAUAAGGUGAAGGGGAUAAAGUAAAGGAUGAAAGAAGCUCAAGACCGGUAAAAGAGUUGUGCUGAUAAUUGACGGAGACCUCUAGAGUUUCAAAUUGGAGAUAUGGUAUUUUUAAAAGUUGCACCAUGGAAGCAUGUGAUUCGGUUUGGAAUGAAAGGCAAAUUAGCACCCAGGUAUAUCGGGCCAUAUAAAAUUAUAGAAAGAAUUGGGAUGGUUGCCUAUCGAAUAAUCCAAUCCUUAGAUUGAGCUGAAAUUUUACGAGGGACUUUAAAAUAUAUUGAAUAAAAUUUGGUUAAAAUUUUAGGAUGAACAGAGCUCGGUGUUGCUUAAAAAAAAUUAGGACCUUCAAAUAGAAGCAAAAUGACUCAUUAAGGGUAAAAUGAUUAUUUGCCAUUAAAAAUAAAACAAAUCAGCUCUCCUUUCCUUUUAUAUGCUGCCGACUGGGCAGAAGCAGAGUGGGAAAAGAAGAAAAGAAAAAAAGCGAGUGAGAAAGAGAGAAAAGUAAGGAAAAAAUAAGAAAAGUGAGAGAAUAAUCUUGUAAACUUACAAAGUCCAACUUAUAAAACACUAAUCUAAGGAAGAAUCAAGUGAAGGAAGGAGGAUUUGAGAGAGAGAAUUUGGCUAACCUUGGGAGAGAAGAGAAAUUGGAAGAAAGUCAAUUAGUAAGUAUGAGAAGUUUGGAUUUAAUGUUUGAUUUAGAUGUUUUUAAGCUAACUCGAUUAAGUUAGGAAGUAAUUUCAUGGAAUUUUACUUUAAUUUCCCUUAAAUCCUUGAUUCUUGAACUUAGGAUUCUUAUGGGAAUUUGGGGGAAUUAGAAAGGGAAGGAAAAAUGAUGAAGUAAGUGGAAUAGCAUGAAAACAAGUUGAAAUAACAAGUAAAUGAAGAAAAAUUUGGGGGAGGAAAAAGAAGAUGACAUUUGGCCAAAUGAAGGAAAAGUGGAGGAAUGAGUUUUGAUGUUAAUGUUUAGGAAACUAUGUUUAAUCAUGAUAUUUGAAAUAUACAAGAAAGACUAAAUGAAGAAAUAACAUUAAAGUUGAGAAAAAUAAGUAAAUUCAAUUUAAAAGAGAAUUGAACUAGUUAAAAAGAAAGUAUGAAGACAAGAUGUUUAGAUUGUGUUUGAAUAUAGUUCUUACAUAUGUUUAGAUAAAAUAAAUAAUAUGAUGUGAAGGCAUAAAGAAUAGAAGGAUUAUUUGAUGGAAGAAUUAUGAACAUAAAGUAAGAAAAGAAGUCAAAAAGGUCAUUCUCAGUCUUCACACUUCAUGCACAAGGAAAUAAUAUGUUUAAUUCGUCAAUCGACUCAUAGCCAACACUGUAACAAAUGUUUGGGAUGAAGGGAAAAGUAUAGAUUUUUCUCAUUAGAGAAAGAAACUGCAUAAAAUGUGAAUGCUGUAAUUAUUUUCAAAGAACUUAACCAUAAAUCCACCCUUCUUGCAAGGAACAAAGCCUUCUUCCCUAUAUUUUCAAAGAAUGCUAUAAUUAUUAUGGUGAAUCAUGCAAGCAUAUCCCACUACCAGAAAAUUGAUAAAUACAAACGGAAAUACCGAGGGAAUAUUUCCGUCGGUAAAUUUCCGAGGGAUUUUACCGACGGAAAUAUUCCCUCGGUAUAUACCGAGGGAAUUACCGUGGGAAAAAAAAUUAAAACAAAGCAAAAAAAAAAUGAUGACGUGUCAUUUUUACCAACGGAAUUACCAACAGAAUUACCGACGGAAUAAAUUCCGUCGGUGAUUCCGUUGGAAAAUUUGUUGGUAAAUUGUGAACACUGUUCAUCAUGUUAAUUACAAAGGGAAUCACCGACGGAAUAUUCCGUCGGUAUUUUCCAGAGGGAAAAGUCGUCGGUGUUAUUUGGCGGUUUUCUGAAAAAAUUCAAUUAAUUUAAAAUUUUCAUUUAAAUAUUACAGACGGAAUCACCGACGGAUUGAAAAAUCAUCGGUAAUUUUUUGGCGGUUUCUGAAAAAAUUUUACGAAAUUGAAAAUUUAAAUUAAAUAUUACCGAUGGAAUUACCGACGGAAUAAUUAAAAAAUAUUAAUAUUUAAUUAUCCGUCGGUAAAUCCGUCGGUAAAGCGUCCCAAUAAAAAGCCUGAAUGCCCUUAUUUCACAAGAGACAGACCCGUUUCUUAUUAUUAUUCUUCUUCUUGUUCUUCUACUUCUUCUUCUUCUUCUUCUUCUUCUUCACUAUAUGUAAAAAACAUCAUUAAGGUAUGUCUUCUUCUUCUUCUUCACUUUAUGUAAAAAACAUCAUUUCUUAUCUAUUUCUUUCUCUUCUUUUCUCUCCUCAUCUCCUUCUCUUUUCCUCCAUGCUUGGAUAUGUCUUUUUCUUCUUUCUUCUUUUAUCCUCUUAGUUUUUUUUUAAUUAAUAUGCUUAAUGAAAUUUUUUUUCUCUCCUUAGCUUCACUUGCAACUACAUUAAGGUAAGAUUUUUCUUUUUUCUUCUUUUUUCAUGAUUUGUUUCACUAUAUUUGUUCUUUAUUUUAUUUUUAAUUGUUUUUGUUCUUAAUAAUUGUAUAAAUGUUGUUGUGAGAUGUUUUUUUCAUAUGAGAUCAAUUUUUAGUAGAUUUAUUUAUAGGAUUUUUAAAUUUUUAGCAAUUGCAACUUCAUUUUUUUCAUAUGAAUUUUUUUAGUUGAAUUUAUUUUUUUAUUUUAUUUAUUUGUUGCAAAUUUGUUUGAAUUGAUUUUCUUAUUCUUUUUUCCAAGCAUUUUGAGUAUAUAUUAUACAGUGUUAAUUUAUGUCAAUUUAAUUAUUUUAUAAUUUUAUAAAAUGAAUUUUUUUAAAAUGUUUUUCAAUAAUUACCGACGGAAUUACCGACGGAAGUUCCGUCGGUAAUUCCGUCGGUACAUCCCUCGGUAAUUCUGUUGGUAAUAAAAAAAUUAUUACCGACGCGUCUGUUCCGUCAGUAAAUCCAUCGGUAAUUCUAUUACCAACAGAUUUACCGACGAACGAUUCACCGACGAAUCAUUUCCGUCUUUGAUUCCGUCGGUAAUAUAAUUACCGAUGAAAUAUGUGUCUUACACCGACGGAAAAAUUCCGUCGGUAAAACUGUUAAAUCUUGUAGUGUCCAGAAUGAUUUGAUAUUUCUUAAUUGAAUUUUGGAAAAGUCGUGAUACUUGGUAAAGCCUUUGGAUAGUUUCUCUGAGAUGUGAUGGAAUUAACAACAUAUUGAGAAUAAUAAAAAAGAAAAAGCAACUGAAUCAAUGAUCAAAAGUUGUGAAAAUUAUAUCUUUCUUUGAAGAUUUUGAUUUUGACCACAGUGAACCUAUAAGCUUAGAUAGAGAGGGCUUCUAUGAUUUCUAUAUAUACGGACUAGCUUGGCUUCAAACCAUAUGUACAAGUCAAGCUCAAACUCAGAACCUACUUAAACUGUUUCUUCUUCUUAUUUUUUAGUGUCAUUUUGCAAAUGGCUCGCCAAGCAGAUCGCCUUUACAAGAUUGGGUUAAAAGGGUUUGCACUAAUAGACGAGUGGUACGGGUGCCCUAGGAGGUCUUCAACUCCUCAAGAGCACCAUCAGCAACGAUAUGAUUAUGGUGGAAUCCAAGUUCCCAUGAUGAAAAUGGAUGUUAUCAACAACAAGGAGGCAGCUAAACAUUAUGGUGGGGUGGUGAUUAUGGAUUAUCGAAAGAAAAAAUUACUCUAUUGAGCUCUUUAGUGAUAAUGUAUUGGGCCUUGCUUUGCUUGGUUAAGUUAAUUACCAAGCAUAAUUAAGUCGUUUUUAACUUUAUUGUUUUCUUCUUCUUUUUCCUAUGUUUGUGUGUGUGUAUGCCAAUUGUUUUAGAGUCAGCUACUCCAAAACAUGAAAAAGUAUGAGUGCCUUAAAGUGAAUUGUUGCACCUCUUAUUUCUCUAUGAUUACGAUUGUUGGGUUUCUUGAAAUACAUGACAUAGUGAAAAUAGUUUUUUCAAGUCUCAUGUAUCUCAUUAAACAACAUAAACUUAUUUAAGAUUUGUGCGAAAAUUGUAUGAAGAUAGUUCUUCCUCCUAGAAUUUGAUCAACACUUGAAGGCUGCAUUCUCGUAAAUCAAGUCCUUACUUGAUUUUUCUAAAUCUAGAAUUUUAAUCUCAUGUGCUAAUUAUAUUAUAGUUUUCANNNNNNNNNNNNNNNNNNNNNNNNNNNNNNNNNNNNNNNNNNNNNNNNNNNNNNNNNNNNNNNNNNNNNNNNNNNNNNNNNNNNNNNNNNNNNNNNNNNNAAAAAUGUAUUAUUCUGUAUUUGUAAUCUUAGUUUGUUUACUUGCAAUUGUUAUGAAUUAUGUGUGUUAAUGGGAAAGAAAUGAGCAUGCGAAAUGUGAGGCAUGUACCAUGAAUGAUGUGUUGUCAAGGUUCUACAUGAUUAUGAUAUGAUUGAGAAAUGAGUAUAACUAUACAGGAUGAUUGUCGAUAACUUGGGACCUCCAGGUAUAAAGGAAACUCUGCCGAAAUUUCAGUGGAAAUUUUGGCAACUCUCGGAUAAGUUCGGUGGAUGAAAAAAAAAAAUACCCAUUUUUUUAAAAGUUAAGGCUCAAAGUACUUUGAUGAAUGUACUAAAUUACAGGGUGUUACAAUUUCUGUAUCGGAUUCUUCAAGGAUAGUUUAAAUGUCUCAAAAGUUUAAAAUUUAAAAUAAAUUUAAAAAAAAUAAUUAGGAUUGCUGUUUUGGAUUUUUCAAGGAUAGUUAAAAGUCUUAAAAUUAUAACAUUCAAAAGAAUUUAAACAAAGGAAUUAGGAUUUCUGUUUUGGAUUCUUCAAGGAUAGUUUAAANNNNNNNNNNNNNNNNNNNNNNNNNNNNNNNNNNNNNNNNNNNNNNNNNNNNNNNNNNNNNNNNNNNNNNNNNNNNNNNNNNNNNNNNNNNNNNNNNNNNUCGCCGCGUCGCCGCGCACCCCGCUAUAAUUAUUAUGGUGAAUCAUGCAUGCAUAUCCAGAAUGAUUUGAUAUUUCUUAAUUGAAUUUUGGAAAAGUCGUGAUACUUGGUAAAGCCUUUGGAUAGUUUCUCUGAGAUGUGAUGGAAUUAACAACAUAUUGAGAAUAAUAAAAAAGAAAAAGCAACGGAAUCAAUGAUCAAAAGUUGUGAAAAUUAUAUCUUUCUUUGAAGAUUUUGAUUUUGACCACAGUGAACCUAUAAGCUUAGAUAGAGAGGGCUUCUAUGAUUUCUAUAUAUACGGACUAGCUUGGCUUCAAACCAUAUGUACAAGUCAAGCUCAAACUCAGAACCUACUUAAACUGUUUCUUCUUCUUAUUUUUUAGUGUCAUUUUGCAAAUGGCUCGCCAAGCAGAUCGCCUUUACAAGAUUGGGUUGGAAGGGUUUGCACUAAUAGACGAGUGGUACGGGUACCCUAGGAGGUCUUCAACUCCUCAAGAGCACCAUCAGCAACGAUAUGAUUAUGGUGGAAUCCAAGUUCCCAUGAUGAAAAUGGAUGUUAUCAACAACAAGGAGGCAGCUAAACAUUAUGGUGGGGUGGUGAUUAUGGAUUAUCGAAAGAAAAAAUUACUCUAUUGAGCUCUUUAGUGAUAAUGUAUUGGGCCUUGCUUUGCUUGGUUAAGUUAAUUACCAAGCAUAAUUAAGUCAUUUUUAACUUUAUUGUUUUCUUCUUUUUUUUCCUAUGUUUGUGUGUGUAUGCCAAUUGUUUUAGAGUCAGCUACUCCAAAACAUGAAAAAGUACGAGUGCCUUAAAGUGAUUUGCUGCACCUCUUAUUUCUCUAUGAUUACGUUCUUGGGUUUCUUGAAAUACAUGACAUAGUGAAAAUAGUUUUUUCAAGUCUCAUGGAUCUCAUUAAACAACAUAAACUUAUUUAGGAUUUGUGCGAAAAUUGUAUGAAGAUAGUUCUUCCUCCUAGAAUUUGAUCAACACUUGAAGGCUGCAUUUUCGUAAAUCAAGUCCUUACUUGAUUUUUCUAAAUCUAGAAUUUUAAUCUCAUGUGCUAAUUAUAUUAUAGUUUUCAAUUUCUAAAACUUAUUUACAAUCAAUUUGUUAUUAUCUACUUUUGACUCCACAAAAAAUCAAGAAAAGAAAGAGAAAAUAGAAAGAGAAAAUCCAAAAUACAAGAAGAUAUACAUGAAAAAAAAACAUAAAAGAUUACUUAAGUUGAUGGUGAAGGACCAAAUUACAUGUGGAAAAGUUGAAGGACCAAAAUAUACAAAACUACUAUAAUUAACAACUCAAUUCCAAUUGACAAAGGGCCCCAUUGGUGAAAAUAUUUCUAUUAGGGUAAAGAAAUACAAAUUUGGAUAGGUAAGGACUUAAUGAGAAUUUUGGAAGGCUUAAUUAAUUUUAUUGAGGACUUGAUUACUGGGAAAAUCAGUUUUUAGAGUCAAUUUGGGUGUUAAUUGAAAUAAAUUAAAGUCCAUAGACUUAAUUGGUUUUUUAGGAGGUUUAAUUGGAUGAAUCAAGGGCUUAAUUGUAAGAAUAUUGAAGUUUGGUAGGUAAUUAGGGACUUGAUUGAAGAAAUCUAAAACCAAGGACCAAACUGAAAAAAGGCGCAUGACUGUAGAGACUAAAUUUGACCAAAUUAGGGGCCAAAUUGAAGAAAAUUGAAAGUUUAAUGGUCAAUUAAGGGUCCGAGUGCACAAAUUAGAAACUAAGGACCAAGAUUAAAAUGGCGCUGAACUUUGAGGUUGAUGAUUGAGCUGGACAAGGGUGAAAUUACAUGAAAUUAAGAGUUUGAAGGACAAUUAUAGGUGCAAUUAAAACAAAUUUGAAGAAUAGGGACUAAAGUGAAAAUUUUCAAAUCCCAAAUAAAAAACCCUAAUUUCUAGGGUUUAACCUAGAUGAUGCGUCGUUCGACCAUUGUUUAGUUUUUUGUUGGCAAUUUUGGUUGAUCGAGUAGGCACCUUCAAACGAAUGAAUGUGGCGUUUCCAACCACUUCUAGGGUUGUAACCACCACCAUUUAAUUGAGAAACACCCCAUCUACAAAGAUCAACUACGACCAUCAAGCACUUAUAUCCCAUUUUCUUUAUCGAACUCAACAACAUCUUUUCCUAGUUAGCCAUUACUACAUUUUCAAAUUCUCGGAUAAUCGAGUUGUCGCCUUCAACAAGUGAAUAUGGGGCUACAGACAUCCAAAUUGAACAAGAAUGGACCAAAUCGAAAGGUGUGAUUCUCCUUUAUAAAGUUUAGGUGGUCUCCAAUAACAUUUACGUUGGAGUUGCUCUGGCGUGGCCUCAAAAUUGGUCAACUUAGUCAGUCUUGACUAAGAUACCUAUUUGUACAAAGUCAUUCAACUUUUUCGUGUGUUCACACUUAAAAAAUUUUAGAGGGUUCUUAUCAAGGGUCAUAAAUCUCAUCCAUAAUCAGAAGGUGAGGGAUGCAUGCCUUUGUCUCCAAGAAAAAAAAAACCUCCUAGGUAAUUUUGUUAGAAAACCAUUGUCCCAAAACCAUUGAAAGACAAAGGUUCUGAUUGUUAACAUUUGUCCAGAACUCUCUCAUUUUGAUCAAAGAACUAAGCUUUGAUCGAUCUAUAUUUGAAUCCAUUAAACACCCUAGCAAAACCCUAUAAAUACCCCCUGAAAAAUAAAAAUAAAAAGAGAGAGAGGAAAAACAUGGAAGAAACACACUAUGAAAAGAUCCUGGUGUGAAGGUUCAAGAGCCUAACAUAGAGGGUCUAACAAGCUUUAGAAAAAAUAUAGUGAAAGGGAAAGAGGUAAAUAAAAGAGAAGGAAAAUAGUUCAUAGCUAGCAAGCUUGGAUAAGGUAUAAAUAUGUAGAAAUUCAAGCGUGGAGUCCAUGUGGCCUUCCUUUUCAUGCUUUCUUAAUGUUUAAACCUCUUUUGAUGUUGUUUGAGCUUGUCUUGCAUUUUUUGGUUUGAUUUUGGUGCUGGAAUAAUUUGAUGUAUUUUCAGCAGAGUUUGUUUUAUUAGAUUUCAUUAUGAUAAUUUGUUUUAGUUUUGGUUAAUAAUUUGUUAUUGAGGUUUGCACUAAAGACAUGAUUCUUGGUUUUCACACUUGUUUGAUUAUGUGAUUUUAGCCUAAUAGCAUGAUGAUGAUGUAUUUGAGAUAUUUUGAUUGGUGUUUGAAUCUAUUUUGUAAUUAAACAAUGAGUUGUUUUUGUUUGUGGGUUAAAUAUUUUGGAAGCAUGUUGAUUAAUUUGAUGAUUUUAGUGCAAGUUCAUGGUUUAUACAAGUAUGUUUUGGCAUAUAGAUGUUAAAAAUAUCAAGUUUUGAAUCCAAAUAGCAUGAAUAUGCUUGUUGAUUAUCUUUAGUAGUUUUGAACUUUGGAACUUAAUGCAUGUUAUUGAUGACUUUAUUUUAUUUGUUAGUUCUUUGAAUUCAACAAUGCUUAAUAUUGAUAAUAUGGUUUGCAAGGACCAAAAGAAACAUGUUUUAGAAGCCUUAGAGGCUAGUUUUGGGUUUAAUAGUAGGUUGGGAACUUUUAGGUUGCUGGGUUUGGUUUUUUCAUGUUCUUGGAAAGAAAAUUGCCUUAGCACUAUGAUUUAGAUCAAUUUUGGUCCCUUUGUUUACACUAAACCAUUCAGGGGACUUAACUAGUAGAUAAUAUAGGGUUUAUUUGCAUUAAUAACAAGUGUAUGGGUUUUUAAUCCUAAGAUUUUGGUUUUUAACCGAAACCCAUUUUCACAAAAUCACGUUAAUUCUUUGAUAAUCGAAGUAAUGGAUGCUAGAUUAUGGAUCCUUGCAUGAUUUCAAAUAAAACCUUGCCCUUGAUUGCAUGAAAACUUGACUGGAUUAAGAUUUGUGUUUGUUGGUUUGUUGAUGAAUGCUCUUUGUGUUCUUCACGAUUUGAGUGUUUGAUCUAUUUUUCUGCAAAUUUUUUUUUAUGUUUUGUGUUAAUUUUCAACUUUGAUUUUGUUUCAGGUUAAACCUUUGUUUGAGUUUACUUUUCAGAUCAAACCUUGUUUUUUGGUUCAGUUCAUGGUUAAACUAGUGUCUUUGGGUCGACCCGUUUGGUUUUGUUUUAGGUCAAGUACUUAAGGCUUUGUUUGUUUGAACAACCUUUUGUGAAGGAUUUUUUUGGCCCAAGAGAAUGUUUGGCAAACACACACUUAAGUGCAUUUUGGUAAUUUCUAGGGAAAGAAAAGAUGGUUUUGCCAAACAUUGGCUUAUAGAAAUAAACUAGCUAUGUGACCCGCGCUCCACCGCGGGUUAAAUAAUCAAAAAAAUUUAAAAGAGCUCCUAAACAAAAUAAAAGAGAUGAUGUUUUAUCCAGGUUAUAAAAAGGUCCAAAGAUGUUGGGUCUUGGUGGCAGAAGGAUCCAAUUGGGUGUUGGGCCAUGGUGGAGGCAAGGCCCACAACUGUUGGGUCUUGGUGGGAGGACCCAACACGCAAUUGGGUCCUACACCGUCAAGACCCAACAUCCACAUGGGUCCUGCACCUGGCAGGACCUAGAAGGAUGUGGGUCCUGCACCCGGCAGGACCCAACAUGCAAUUGGGUCUUGCACUGUGCAGGACUCGAAGCUAAUUUCGGUCCUGCACCUUGCACGACCCAAAGUUAUUGUGGGUCCUGCGCUAUACUCAAUUGGGUUGGGUCCUGCAUCCUGUAGGACUUAAAGUGCAGGAUCCAACACCCAAUUGGUCCUGCACAUGUCAGGACCUAACACAUAAUAUAUAUAUAUAUAUAUAUAUAUAUAUAUAUAUAUAUAUAUAUAUAUAUAUAUAUAUAUAUAAUUCAAAACUACUGCAUAAAAAUCUAAAGACAAUAAAAUAUUGAUAUAACUUUGAAUCUCAUACACUAAUGUUAUAAAAUUAAAAUAUCUUGUAUUACCUAAAAUAAAAUCUCUUAUAUAAUACUAAAGAUUUAUAAAGUAUAUGAUGUAAAUAAAAAAUUUCUUGAGAUUUCUAUCAACUUUAAUAUGAAAAUAUUAGAGAAUAGAAUUAAAAAUUUUCAACUUUUUUCAAAGUAUUUUUAAAACUAUGAGUCAGGUGCCCUUGUCAACUCUUAGUUUUUUAGGUCUAGAAGGGAAUGUCAGAUCCAUGUUAAUAAUAAUAAUAAUUCAUUUAAUUAUAAUUAAAAUGAAGAAGAAGAAGAUACAAAAAGGAAAUUAAUACAGGUUUGUAAGCCAUGUAAAACACAAUUACUCAAGAUAUUUCAUGGUUUGCAUGCCUCUAGUUUGCGUGCGUGGUUAGGUUUCCCAUCUAUUUUAUGAAUUCACGCAAACCUAUUAUGAUAAUAUUUACAUACCAAGCACUAGAAACUAUAGAAGAAAAAAGAAAAUCUGACAAUAAGAAAAAUAUAUUGGUCUCAUAAUAUCUAUUUAGCCUUACACUUCUGGAAAAAGAUUAAUUUUCCAUCAGCACCAUGGACAUCUGGAAAUUUUUAUUUUUUGAUUUACUUUAAAUUAGUAUUUUUUUGACAUUUUUGUAUUAUUUUUAAAAGAUUGUUUCCAAAAUAUAUAUUUAGAUUGUGUCUUGAAAAUUUUUAAUUUUUUUCUUGACUUUAAAUUUUGAAGACACAAUCUCAACAUAAUUUUUUAAAAGAAAAUAUUUAAAAAAUAAUAGAAAAACAAAGAAAAAAGUAAUUUAAAGUAAAGGAAAAAAAUAAAAAUAUUUCAAGACACAAUUUCAAUAUUUUUUUUCAAACAUAGUAUUUAAAAAACAAUAGCAAAAUAUAAAAAAAAUCAAUUUGAAUUAAAGGAAAAAAUUAAAAAUUUUCAAAUUUCUUGGCUCUUGCUUCACAGUCAGACACAAUCUCAAAAAAAUAAUUUAAAAUCUUUAUUUAAAAAAUAAUAGAAAAACAUAGAAAAAAAAAUUUAAGUAAAGAAAAAAAUUAAAAAUUUUCAAGACACAAUCUCAAUGUAUAUUUUGAAAAAAAAUAUUUUCAAAAUAAUACAAAAAUAUAUAUAAAAAAUUAAUUUAAAGUAAAUUAAAAAUUUUCAAAUUUCUUGGGUCUGGCUUGUCAAAAGUUAUUUCAAAAAUUACAAAUUCAAAAAAUUAAUGUUGUUGGGUCUUUUGGUAGAGAAGGCAACGCCCCCAGCUCUUGGAUCCUAACUCUAAAGGGUUGAGGAGAACCCAAUGUCAUUGGGUCCUGGUGUUAGCAAUACCCAAUAACCCACAGUCAACCACUAUGUUGGGUCUCCCAGUAGCUCUGGGAAGACAAGGCAAAGCCUCCAUCCGUAAAUUUUGACCAAAACCAUAGCAGGGUAUGACCCCCAAGGUGUAUGGCUGCUAGGUCUGGCUGUGUAACCACACCCAAUAUCCUUAGGUAUGGUUGUGCAGCUAAACCCAACACCUUUGGAGGGUGUUAGGUCCUGCACCGUGCAUGACCAAAAUAGCUAUGAUAUAAGUAAUCCAUCCUAGGGACAUCGGCAUAGGAAGAUUGAAAAAAAAACAAAACAAAACAAUUGAUUUCCUUUGGUAAAUGGAUUGGAAAUCCAUGUUAUCACGAAUGUGAGAAUUCAAUCACCCAUACCUCUCUAUAUCUCUACACAUCGUAAAUAUAUAUAUCUUUUUCACUACAAUAUAACACCACCAUUGAAUAUUAAUGCAAGACCAUUGAUCAAUAAGGAUGACUGGCUUCCAGACCCAAUAACCAUACCCAAUUAAAUUUCUUUGUCGUUGUCUUCUCUGAUUUAAAUUUAUUUUUCAAAAUAAAUUGAUGAGAUUUUUUUUAUAUUGUAUAAAAGUUGAGUGAUAAUAUUUUUUUCCCAUUUCAGGUUGGGUUAAAUUUCCUAAUUAAAUCAUGUUUGAUUUUGCGUUUUGAAAAUUCCUUGAAAUUUUUUUGAUAAUUUUUAAGUUUUUUUUCUUUGCUUGAAAUUAAUAUUUUUGUUAUGUUUUUGUAUUAUUUUUUAAAAAAAUAUGUUGAGAUUAUGUCUGGCUGCGACGCUAGACAAAAGAAAUUUUAAAAUUUUUAAUUUUUUUCUUUACUUCAAAAUAUUACUUUCACCAUGUUUUUGUAUAUUUUUUAAAUAUUUUUUUUUUAAAAAAAACAUAUAUUGAGAUUGUGUCUAGUUGAGAGGCAAGACUCAAGAAAUUAAAAACAUUUUCAUUUUUUUAUUUACUUCAAAUUAAUUUUUGUUUAAUAUUUUUUUCUUCAUUUCAAAUUAUUUAGAUAGUGUUUGAUUUUGCAUUUCAAAAAUUGUUUGAAUUUUUUUUGACAAUUUUAAAGCUUUUUUCUUUACUUCAAAUUAAUUUUUUUUUAUGUUUUUGUAUUUUUUUUUUAAAUGUUGGCAUUGUGUUUGUCUGCGAUGCUAGACCCAAUAAAUUUUUAAAUUUUAAUUUUUUUCUUUCCUUCAAAAUAAUAUUUUUUUUUCAUGUUUUUAUAUAUUUUUUAAAAAUAUUGAGAUUUUCUCUGGCUCGUUUUGUGGGGCCUCUAAACCCAAGGAGGGUUAGAACAGACCUCGACGGCUGGGUCUGCACCCAGCGCGUGUGUAAUAGUCCGAACUGUACGACUCGAUCAAUGUUAAAAGAUUCCAACAUAUACUCUUUAUUUGAGGGUAAUGUUUUUUUUUUAUUUCCAAAAAUUCGACAGAGUUUUGUUUGCAUUUAGAACAUCCCAAGUUAUCGACUACUAUCAAUUUACUCAAUCAACCCAUUAUCACAAGGUCCCUUAAUUCCGGACCUUAUAUCAAACCUCAUAAUUCCACACCUCAUACAAUCCACACAAUAUAUAUAUAUAUCCUACGAGUAAGUUCAAUAUGAACAUAGUCCAACACAUCGUAUCAUAAAAUUUAAAGGAAAAGCAAUACUAUCAUGCAAAGAAAGUAUUUACAGUUAAUUACAAGAUAACUAAAAUACUACAUGCUAAGCUAAACCUUUAUAAAUACAUCAAGGUUUGCACAAAAGUAUACUACAUAAACACGUUAAUUCCCUUUUGUUUUAAGUUAAAUAUUUACAUAAGCUUCACAAGGUAGAGUCCUAAACUAAUGAUCUUCCUGGAUGUUUGAUGGACCUGUUACAUAAAUAAACAUACCAUUAUGUUGAUAAAGAAUAUAUGUAUGCUCAUGCAAUGAAUACGAAUGAAGUAUUAACUUUCUAUCGAAUCCAUGAGAAUUCUAACAAAUAACUUAUAUUUUGCUUGUAAAUCUUUUAAACCCAAUUAACACUCAUUUGUAUAUUCUUAAUUGAAUAAUCUUAUUUACUUGCAUAAACUGGGUGACCUUGCAAGGUUUAAUCUUGUAAUUCAUUUCCCGGCAAUCCUAUCAUGGAUGCCAUUAGCCGAAGCUAAUUAUGUAAAUCAUUUCCCGGCAAUCCUAUAACGGAUGCCAUUAGCCGAAGCUAAUCUUGUAAAUACACUAGGCUUUAUUUACAUUGAACACGAUAUUUAUUAUAAUUGCAUUCACCAGAAGGAUUCUAAAUUGUAUAAGUGCAAAUAGGAGGGAAAAUCAUGCACCUGCUUCGUCUGUCUCGCGACCUCCCCUAACAAAAGAUCCAAUCCUAGUUGCUCCUCCUGAAUCACAAGGAAGUUUUUUUUUUUUGGUUAUGAUUCCUUCAAGCCGAUAUUAUAGAGAAUUCAUAUUCAUCCAUUACUCAUAUGUUACUUUCUAUGCAUGUUCAUUUCCUCAUAAUAACAUACAUACAUAUAUCAUGUAUAUUUUCAGAGUUAGUAUCUCAAUAUACAAGUGUUCGUAUGACUCAAUUCUUUUAUAUUCUUAUUUAUAGUAUUCACGUCAAAGUCGUCUGACUUUGAACUGUUACUGUUUGACUUUGAACUGUUACUGUCCAAUUUCCAACUGUUACUGUUUGACUUGGAACUGUUACUGUCUAAACACUCAUCAGAUUUUUAACUAUAUCUAAAGUUCUAAAACUCCAUUUUAAGUGAGAUUGAUCUCGCUAGAAAGCUAAGACACGAGGCUACUAGUUCUCUGAGGAAGGAGAACCUAGUUUUGCCUCCAAGAUAGUCAAAAUUGUUCAUUUACUAAUUAGUCCUACUACCCUACAUAAUUAGUUACGACUCAAUCUCAGUUGGUAACCCAUAACUGGAGUUCUACAUCUCCAAAUUGAGCAAGACCAGUUUCUUUGGUUAGCUAACAUUCAAAUCUACAAUUUCUAUGAGGAACCCGAUCCUAAUCCCCUCAUCCUCCUACCCGAAAUCUCAUCAAAAGUUAGGAGACAAGUCUGUCUAGAUUCGUCUCCCCCUCCCCUUCACACAAUACUUUCAUAAACUACAUACCACACACAUGAAUUAACUUAAUCUCAACAAUAAGUACUUUUUCCCCAAUUUAUGUCUAAGAACCCUAACCUAUGAUUCAAUAUCAAGGCAUCAAUUCUUUAUCGAAUUUAAAAAUGAAUUUUUUUAAGAUCAUGUUUAGAAUACCUUACCCGGUACAAAUUAAGAUUUUGAUCUUCAACCAGUUGAAGAUUUUCAACUCCCUCCUUUCUUUUCUUCUUGUUCAAUUUCUUGGUAAUUUUUUGCUCUCAAGUGUUUAUCCCAUCUAUAAGCUCUUAAUCUUGGAUGGGUUCUUGAAAUUUUAGUGUUUCUCUCUUGAUUUCUCAAGAAUGGGUAUAAACUCCCUAUCUUCUCUUCUUAUGGUUCCUACAGAUUUUUUUGGUGAGGAGAGAGUAUUUAUACUCUAUAUUUUCCCUUAUUUGCAUUUAGGCCCUCCUUUUCCUUUAAGUGUAUUAUUCUCUUCAAUUAAAUCCAACCCUCAACAGUACCGGGUUUAUUAUAAUAUCGCGAAUUAUUUCGCUCGGAAAUUUAUAUUCAAAAAUUUCAGAAUUUCUGUUUUUAUUUAACCAUAUGCAUGAAUUUCAUCACUUUUAUUUAUUUAUUAUUUUUCCCGGGGUUUACAGCGCGGGUCCAGAGGCCAGGAGCGCGGGGUUGCAGACCCUGCCUCGCGGGUAUGCAGACCCCAGGGUCACAAGGCUGCACACUCGCUUGCACUGGGGAUGCAGCCAGGCGCGCGGGUCUGCCUUACCACCUAAGGCAUGGCAGGCCCCGUGCUAGGUGUCUGCAUGCUAGGGCCUUGGCCAGCCCUAGUGCUAGGUGGCAGCAACCUAGAGCGCGAGCAGGCGCACGUGGCCUACCCCACUCCCAAGCCUGACAGCCUAAGCGCCAAGUGUCCCCAGCCUUAGGGGUUGUGCGUCCAGCCAGACACUUGGGGCCCACACUAAUAUUUUUUUCAAAAAAUAUUUUUUAACAAUAAUAGUAAUAAUGAUAAUGAUAUUUGUUAUUAUAUUUUUUUUUUUGCAAUUUCCUUCCAUUUUUAAUAUUAAUACAAGUAAUAAUAUUUAGUAAUAAUAUUUUUUUUAACAUUCAAUGAAAUUAAAAAUAUAAAUAUUUAGAAUAAAAAUAAAAAUAUUUAGACUACAAAUAAAAAUAUUUAUCACAUUAAUAAUAAUAUGAAACUUGUUUGACCAAAGUUGAUAAAAUAAUAUUUUUUUUAAAAAAAAUUAUUAACAAUAAUAAUAACGAUAAUUGUUGUUAUAUUAUUUUUUUCAAUUUUCUUCUAUCCUUAACAUUAAUACUUUUAAUUACAAUAAAGAUAAUAAUAUUUAGAAUACAAAUAAUAAUAUUUAUCAUAUUAAUAAAAAUAUCUACAGUAAUAAAUUUUUUUAUGAUAAUUAACCAUGAGACAAUAAUAAUAAUGAUAAUUGCUAUUGUAUUUUUUCCCCUGCAGGGUCUGUCGAUCCAGCCGUGCGAGCCUCUAAACCCAAGGGCGGUUAGAACAGACAUCGGCGGUCGGGUCUGCACCCAGUGUGCGGGUCAGGAGGCUAGGAGCGCGGGGUGCAAACUCUACCUCGCUUGUCUGCAGACCCCAGGGUUGCGGGGCUGCAGCAAACCCCGCGCCAGGUGUCUGCAUGCUAGGGCCUCGGCCAGCCCUAGCACCAGGUGGCAGCAGCCUAGGGCGCGCGCAAGAGCGCGUGGCCAACCCAACGCCCAUGCCUGUCAACCCAAGCGCUAGGUAUUCGUAGCCUCAGGGGGUGUGCGUCCACCCAGGCACUUGAGGCGUGCAAUAAGAUUUUUUGAAAAAAAAGUUUUUUAAAGAAUAAUAAUAAUGAUAAUUGUUAUAAUAUUUUUUUUUCCAAUUUUCGUCUAUUCAUAAUAUUAAUACAUUUAAUUAAAAUAAUAAUAAUAAUAAUAAUAGUUAGAAAAAUAAUAAUAUUUAUCACAUUAAUAAUAAUAUGAAACUUGCUUGACCAAAGUUGAUACAAUAUUAAUAAUAAUAUGAAACUUGCUUGACCAAAGUUGAUACAUUAUUAAUAAUAAUAUUUAUCACAUAUUUUAUCAAAUUAUUUACAAAUAAUAAUAUAUUUUUAUGUUUGAAAAUCCAUUUUUUAUAUACUCACAUCAAAAUAUUCAUUCGUGUAAAAAGGAAAUAAUAAUAUUAAUUUUUCUUUUCUUUUCUCUUAUUUUCGAUAUGAAUACUUUUUUAUAUAUAUUUUUGAUAUUUCUCUUCUUGAAUUUGCUUAUUAAAGCAUGUUUGUUUUUGCGUUUAAAAAAUGCUUUGAAAACAUUUUUAAAAUUUUUAAUUGUUUUGUUUACUUCAAAUUAAUAUUUUUGAUGUUGUAUUUUUUUUUGGUCUAGGUCCAUGACUGCGUUUUUAUUAUAAUUCUAAUUAUAAAAUAAUAAUAUUUAUAAUAAAAAUAAUUAUAUUUAGAAAGCUAAGACCCAAUUCUCUUGGGUCGUGACGCAGGACCCAUUACCCUUGGAUCCUGCCGUGGGACCUAAAGGAAUUGGGUCCUGACGCAUGACCCAAUCCUCUUAGGUCCUUGGGUCCGGCGGCAGGACCCAAGAGAAUUAUAAUAAAAAUAAUAAUAUUUAUAAUACAAAUAAUAAUAUGUUUAAUGUCAAUAACAUUAAUUAUAAUAAACAUAACAAUAUUUAUAAUACAAAUAAGAAUAUCUUGAAUUUCAAUAACAUUAAUUAUAAUACAAAUAAUAAUAUUUUUCAUUUAUUAAUUAUUAUAUGAAUAAUAUUAAUUAUAAUAAAAUACAAAUAUUUAUAAUACAAAUAAUUUUAAUUUUAACGUUAUUAUUAUUAUUAUUAUUAUUUAUAAUACAACUAAGAAUAUUUUUUAAUAACAUUAAUUAUAAUACAAAAGUAUUAAUAUUAAAAAUAUUAUUAUUUGUAUUAUACAUAUUAUUAUUUUUAUUAUAAUUAAUAUUAUUCAUAUAAUAAUUAAUAAAUUUUGGAAAUUUAUUAUUAUUAUUAUUAUGAUUAAUAAAUUUUAAAAAUACUAUUAUUACUAUUGAAGAAAAACCAUUAUUUUUUUAAAGAUUUAAAAAUAUAAUUCAAAGUAUUCAUAUAAAAAAUAUAAUUAUUUGUAUUAUAAAUAUAAUUAUUUUUCUUAUAAUUCAAAGUAUUCAUAUCAAAAAAAUUAUUAUUUGUGUUAUAAAUAUAUUAUUUUAAUUAUAAUUCUAAGUAUUAAUAUAAAAAUAUUAUAAUUUGUGUUAUAAAUAUUCUUGAGUUUGUUAAUAUAAUUAUUUGUGUUAUAAAUAUUAUUAUAACAAAUAAUCAAAUGCCAAGCGCCCUAGGGCUGCAUCCAAGCAUGCGUGUCCGGUCAUAGCGCUCAAGGCUCGUCACACCCUUCGCCAGGUGUGUGCAUGCUGAGGCCUCGGCCAGCUAUAGCGCCAAGUGUUUGCUGCCUAGGGCCGCGACUAGGGGCGCGUGGCUGGCCCCAAAGCCCUGGCUUGGCUACCCAAGCACAAGGUGUCGACAGUCUAAUCUAAUUAAAUGUCGCCUCUGCCGCUGCAUCACUCCCAUCUUAAUGACAAAAGUCAAAUGAGCCACCCCAGUCGCAAUUCUUGACUAAAAACACAGGUAAGGAACGCCCCCCAAGGUGCUAUAGUGUCAUCCACAGUUCAUUGUAUCUUGGGCCACAGUGCAUGUACAGUAGAAAAUCCUAAUACGUGUUAAGACAUAGCAAAGCAACUAUGUAAGUUUUAAUACAUAGCAAAACAACUGUGCAAAUCCACAAUUAAUUGUCUCUUGGUCCACAGUGCAUGCAUGUACAGUAAGUCCACAAUGAAUUAUCUCUCAGUCCACAAUGUAUUCAUGUAUAGUAGAAAACCACGUGUUUUAGAGUUUUGUUAAUAAUAAAAAAAAACAAAAAUAAUUUUGGUUUGUUGUAUACGUCUCAAUCUUUACAUAACAUUGCAAUUUAUUAAUAAAAAGGAGGGGAAAAUGUUUUUAGCAUUGUUUUUUUUUUUCAUUUUGUAAUUUACAAUAAGUUGGCCAAUAUUUGGCCAAUAUUUCAAUAACUCUAAAAAUUUUAAUUCCUAAAAAUUAAAGGUCAACAUUAUGGUAUAAAUGUUAGACCUACCAGUAGGCUAGUAUUUAAGUACCAGAAGUUAACUAGAAAAUUUUCAGAAUUAUUUUGGAUAUUCAUCAUUUUUAAUUGUGAGUAUUUUUUCAUCACAAUAUAUGAGUUGUGGAAAACAUUUUCACCUUUCAGGAUAGGUGACUCCUGUCAAAGCACCUACAUGAAUUUUUUUUAUAAGAAUUUACCUAAACAUACGAGUCCAUAAUAAAUUUGAAAUGUCAUAUUUAUUUAUGGGCGUAAUUCCUUUUUCUGAGCCAUAAAUGGGCUACCGGUUAGGAACCCAUCAACACGUUUAAACCACAUCAUGACAACACAAUACAACUUUACUCAAGUAAGGAUGUUAAUGCCUUUUUCUAGCCAAUACUGGUCCCUUACCCUGAAAUUUCAGAUAAGAUCAGUUACUUGGGUCUUCUAAUGACUUUGAAAUCACAAAACUAGGUGCGGACUCCUUAAUCCCGAUGCUGCAACACCGCGCGCACAUAGGCGACACAAUUCAUGCUUGAUUAAUCAUCCAUGUGAAUUAUUAGGUUUCGAAUAUGUUGGCACAAAUAUAAAUCAUAAUCUUAUUCAAAACAAGAUUAAAUAAAUUAAGCAAUUUAAGUUACUAUCAAUCCAACAAAUUGAUAGAUUUAUAUUUAAAUAUCAAAUGCAAGAUACCAUGAUCUCUUAAAUCUUGUCCCAGUAUAAAAAAAAUGUGAGUAUAUGAACCCAUGAAGUGGUAUCAGAAUCUAUUUUCCUAUUAUUAUUAACUAAACGGAAAGCCAUAUCUUACUGCUUAUACUAUAAUAUUGGGAUUGAGUGGUACAAUGUCCAGAAUGCUUCUAAGGAUAACCAUAUGUCCAUAUCCAUAAGAUCUCAAUGGAUUGACCCUUACUACAGAAUCUAGCACAUCCUUAAGCUAGAAUAAAGUGCCUUCACUGAUUAAUCUAGCAUAUAUAUCUAAUUAUUUGAAAAUCUUUUCAAAUUUCAUUCCACCUUAUAUAAAGAUUUAAUACUUAAUAUUAUUUGAGAAUACAUAUAGAUUGCAAGCAUCGGCUUUUAGUGUACUUUUGAUGACAUGAAACUACCACAAAAUGGGUCCUAUCCGAGAGAGUGUUCUCUUUCUGUUCUGUUAUCACAUAGAACUGAAAUCUGUUCAGAGUACCCCUCCAAGAAAAUUGAUGCGGGCAGAAAGACAAUAAUAAAUACAGAAAAAACACAAGAAUUUUAAUGAGCGAAAUGGGCUGUUGAUGUGAACAUUAAGUUCACAGGUUUUAUUUUCUCUUAAAUAACAAUCAUCACUACAAGAUUUCACAGUUUUACUGACGGACCAAUUCCGUCGAUGUGUGAUUAGAAGUUCGUCGGUGAUUUUUUUACCGACGUCAUCACCGACGGAUUACGUCCGUCCGUCGGCAUUCCCUUCGUCGGUGAUUCCCCCUUCCAUCGCUAUAUCGAUUGGAAAAACAAAAAAAUCAUUUGCCGAUGGUUUUACAGAUGGAAUUUGCGCGCCAAAAAAAAAGAUUCCCGCUUGAAAUAUACCGACGGAUUUUUAUUCUGUCGGUGAUAUUGUAAUUGACCGACGGAAACUAUCCGUCGGUAAAUACGUCGGUGAGUGUAUGAAAUACCGAACGAAUAUAUUUGUCUGUAAAUUCGUCGGUACUGGUGGCAGUUACUGUUAAAUGCCGACGGAUUAAUUCCAUCGGUAAUUCUGUCAGUGAGUGUUUAAAAUACCGACCGAAUUAAUCCGUCGGUAAAAUCCUUGGUAAUAGUUUUUUUCUUAAUUUUUUUUAAAAAAACUAUUUAGGAUAUAUAAUAUAAAACUAUUUAAAUUAAUUGUAAUACAAACCAAUUAUGCAAAAAAAAAUUAUAUUAAACAUAAAAAAAACAAAGUUAAAUAAUAUUCAUUACAAACUGAAUAUGUUUCAAGAAAAAUAUUAAAUGAAGUUUUAAAGGUAAAUAAUGUUGAUUACAAAUUAAUAUAAAGGUGGAGCUGGAGGAGGAGGAGGAGGAGAUCCUGGAGGAGGCUGGUGAUUAUACGGCCAAAAAAGAUUAGGCGCACAUGUUCCACUAUUUGUCAUGUUCAUUAGCAUUUCGCGAAGUUGUUCAUAAGCCGCUUUUUGUUGUUCAUGAGCCGCUUCAUACUCCGUUUUUUGUUGUGCUUGAGACGCUUUGAGUUGCUCAGACUACGCUCUUUGUUCCGCUCUUUGUUGUGCAUGAGACGCUUUGAGUUGUGCGUACUCCGCUUUUAGGUGAUCGUAUUUCUCGGUGAGCUGAGCUGUGUGUUGCUGCAAGGCCACGAACUCCUUAGAUUGGGAGCUCGAUAUUGAUUGGGAGCUCCCAACGGUUGAAACACUACGGGUCGACCGCAAGUUGUCGGCCGUAGUGUUGGAGAGCCCGUAAACCCGAUUUUUAUCGGGUCCACUUGACAAGCCAACCUCCAUCCACAAAUCCGGAUCGAAUUUCGAAUGGGUCAAAAUAUUGUCCCCGUAUCUCUCCCUCAACCGAUUAUUAUAGGUCUCCUGAAAAUAAAAAUAAAAAAGUAAUCAUCAUAUUCAAUACAAUAAACAUAAUAACUUACAUAAUAACUUACAAAAUAAAAUGGUUGAACAAACAUACCACGAAAUGCUGAGCACGGUUAUCAACGAACUGUUGCGCCCCCUUCUGGCAGUCUUGACUCUGCACGUGCGUCUCCACAAACAGCUCCAUCGGGCUCAGCUUACGUCCAAGAGACGCAGCCUAUAAUGAAAAAAGAUAUAUUAACAACAACUGAAUUUAACGAUAUAUUUCAUUUAAAUUAAUCUUACCAUCCGUUUCGCAUGUGCAGCAAACGGAACGGAGCCGUCAGUGUGCGUUGUCACCCCGCCAUGAAUUGGCCGAUUCCGGUUGCCAGCACCGGACUGUGAGUGUCGUGUGAACCGUUCAGACGUCACGUGCUCAAGAUAGUGCGGCCAUAUAUCUUCCGGGAUGUAUAUCGGUUUGAAAUCCCUCCAAACCGCAACAUCGUUCCAGCCUUGGAAACCCCUAUCCCUCGCGGUUUUUUUUGCCUUUUUUUGUGCUUCAUACCAAAAAUCACGCAACCUACUUCACGCAACCAAAAAUUACAUUUCGAAACAUAAAUUUUUGGCUAAAAAAAAUCCUGUAUUGUUUUCGAUCUUACCUAGUUGCCGCGUGAUUUUCCCACACCCUCCUCACAACAGUGUUAUGCUCACUGUCCCAGCAGAAUUUGUGCUGUGUAUAAAUAAACAAGCUUAAAUAAAAAUAAUAAUUUAUUUACAAUUAUAUUAAUAAGCUGAAAAUUAUAAAUUAAUACCAACCUCAAACCUGUUAAACCAUGCAUUGAUUUGAGGCAUCCAUUCAGGAUGCUUGGAUAUCUGACUCCAUUGAAACAAUGGAAUCUCCAUCGACGAUUUAAACGCCGAUGAUAUUACUCGGGCGGCUUCAAUGUUUGUGAACCUGAAAAUAAAUGAAAUAAAUUCAAUAGUGAUUACUUCAUAAAUUAUGUUGUAAUUUUUUUAAAAAAAAACUAAAACCUUAACAAACUUACAUUGAAAGGUCGUCCUUCCAUUGUGCCUCGUACUUGCGGGUAAAUUGAUUCCGCUGCGAAGGCACGCCGUCUCUGCGCUAUGAAGUACCGCUAGAAGAGGCAGCAUCGGUUGACGGCGCAGGUGGUGUAGGUGCCUCUUCUUGAGAGGCACCUAAGGAAAUAUCAUCAUCGCUGCUAGACGAACUAGCUGUGACCGUACUUGAGCGACCAGCUCUGGUUUUCGUUCUACGCAUCUACACAAUUUGAUACAAAUAAUUAUAUAAUUAAAUUCAAAUGUAAAAAAAAAAUUUGACAGCACCUCCCCUAUACCGGAUACUACCCAAAUCCACAAACAUGCACAUAUUAACAAUAGCCACAACCAAUUUACCCAAUCUAUACUAAUUAUUCCAACAUAUUCAAUUACUAAUCCUAAGGUAAAUUCAACAUUAAGAAUUACAAUUCAAGUAAUUAUUCAAUAAUUAUACCAAUAUAACAAAACAAUAAAUUAAAAAAAAAACUCUAGAAUAACAAUCAAAAUAAAUGGAAAAAAUUAAACACAAAGCAUGCAAUAAUAGAGUAAAACUAAUAAUUAUUCCAACAUAUUCAAUUACUAAUUCUAAAAUAAAUUCAACAUUAAGAAUUACAAUUCAACAAAUUAUUCAAUAAUUAUGCCAAUACAACAAAACAAUAAAUUAAAAAAAAACUCUAGAAUAACAAUCAAAAUAAAUGGAAAAAAUUAAACACAAAUCAUGCAAUAAUAAAGUAAAAUUAAUAAUUAUUCCAACAUAUUCAAUUACUAAUUCUAUGGUAAAUUCAACAUUAACAAUAAAUAUUCAACAAAUUAACUAAUAAUAAUUAUGCCAAUACAACAAUAAAAAAUAUUCAGUAAAUUUAAAAAAAAAACUAUAGACUUUAGCAAUGAAUUAUGCAAAAAAAACUAUAGACUUUAUCUACAUUACAAAAAAUACACCAAAAAAAAAAACUAACCAAAAAAAUAGCAAAAAAAAACCAUUAGAAGAAACACUAACCUUUUAAACUGAUGGAGAUUCACGAUAAAAAAAGCUUGAGAUCGCCUGAAGAACGGAGAGAAGAACGGAGAGGAAAAGAAUGGUGAAAAACUGAGGAGAAGAGAAAAUGAACUGAAGAGGCGGUCGGGGGAGUUUAAAUGCCAAUUUUACCGACGGAUUCACCGACGUCUAUAAAAUUAAUUAUUAUUUUAAUUUAUUCCGUCGGUGAGGUGUUAAAAAUCCGUCGGUAAAUUUUGAAUUUCGCACCAAAUUUUUUAAUGGCCCUCUAUAUUUUUCGCAGUCCGUGGCAAAUCCGUCGGCAAUCUGACGCGGUCAGAGAUGCAUUUAAUGCACAACCCUUUGAUAUUCGCGCAGUCCGUCGGGAAUUGUGUCGGUAAAAUUGACAACGUACCGACGACUAUAUAUUCGUCGGUGUGGUCGUCGAUGAUAUGGUGGCAUUACCAGUAAUUAUUUUCGAACUCUCUGUGAAAUGCCGACGGAAUUAAGUCCGUCGGUGUGGUCGUCGGUGAUGUGGUGGCAUUUCAAGUAAUUAUUUCCUGUCACAAAAUAUAUCAUCCAUGAUCAAUAAUUAUUUCAAGUAAUUAUUUCGUAAUUGUGGCAUUUCAACUAAUUAUUUCAAGUAAUAAAUAUUUUGUGUUUCAAAAUAUAUCAUCCAUAAUCUAAAUUACAUGAAAAAAAGGGUUUUACAUAGGGCUUCAUUUUGGUAGUUAGUCAGAAUUUUCUUCUUCUUCGUCAUCAAUUGAAUUGUCAUCACCUUCAUCGCAAUCUUCAACAUGAAUAUCAUCUUCUUCAUCGACAUUUGCUUGUCCGCUAGAGCUCAAAACAAAAUUCAACUCCUCUGCAUCAACAUCAACAUGACUAUCAUCGAAAACACGAAAAUUUGAAUUUUCUUCCAAUUCAAUCGAAGGAGUAACUCGAUAUGGUUCAACCACCUCACUAACUUGAAAGACUUCAUCUCGCACACUUGUGUCUUCAUUCUCAUCCUGAACAACCUCGACACGACCCCGGGGUUUUGUUUUUAAAACGGACAACCAAUCCACUCUUGAUCGAUCCUUUCUAAAUGAAGGGGUGUAUGUGUAAUAAACUUGUUGACAUUGCUUUGCGAAAACAAAGACAUCGUUUAUGUUGCGGAGUCUAGCUUUUGAGUUGAUUUCGACCAGACCAUAGUGCGGAUCAACUCUGAUUCCUCUGUCAGUCGUGUCAUACCAAUAGCAUUUGAAUAAAAACACUAUAUUCUGCUCGUCAUGAUAUUGUAGUUCGACGACCUCUUCUAAUCUACCAUAGUAGUCAACUUCUAACUCACUACUAGUGGAUCCCUUAACACAAACACCGCUGUUGUAUGUCUUUCUUCCUUGCCCGUAUUCUUCAGUAUGGAAAACAUAUCCAUUGACAAAAUACCCGUUGUAGCACUUACAUUUUCUUUCAAGCCCCAGGCUUAGUGAAGACAAUGACUUAGGUGCACUCCUUCCCAUUUGAUAAACCUUGUAUGUAAUGUACAUCAAUAAAUAGUAAAUGAACGAGAAUCUCGUAAUGACAUGCAUACGUACAGUAAUUUUGCAAGUUAGAAUGAGUUUGUGAUAGUGCUUACAUGUGUUCUGAACCACGUGGCAAACUGCUCAUCUUGUAAUUGAAAGAUCUGGGAUUCGGUCAGCUGUGAGUUAUUGGAGAGCAAAUAUUGACGAUGUUGCCUGCAAGUGAUAAUGAGUGUAUGAUAUUACAAUAUAUAAUUAACAGUAUAUUACUAACAAAGUUUAAUUAGUAUAAACUUACUGAAUAAAAGGUCUCAGCUCAUCACACUUAAAUAGAACAUAGUUGUGUGCUUGUUUGAACUCUAUUUCCGACAAAUAUCUUCCUCUUACGGCAUUUUUAUGUGUGGGUCAUCCAGUAUUGGAGAAUAUUGACAAGUUCCCACUGGAUGGCACUUCACCGCCAUCAUCAUGCCGUGGACCGCGAUUGAUUCUCGUUCUCAGAUGAGGUUCGAAAUAGUACGAGAUAAAUGUUGAGAUCUCCUCAACAAUAUAGGCCUCACAUAUCGAAGCCUCAACAUGCGCCUUGUUCUUAACCUUUUUCUUGAGAUUAAACAAGUACCUGCAUUGAAAUAUUAAUCAAGUAUUUUCAAUUAAGAAAAACAUAUAAAAUACUUUUAUAUAUGAAUUACAUUGCAACUGUAAUAUCUAACCGUUCGAAUGGGUACAUCCAUCUAUAUUGGAUCGGACCUCCAGCUUUUGCCUCGAACGGUAGAUGUAUAGGGAGAUGCUCCAUUGAGUCAAAAAAUGAUGGAGGGAAUAUCAUCUCAAGUUUGCAUAGUGUCUCGACGAUAUUCGUUUGAAGCCUCUCAAUGUGAUCAACAUUCAACUUGCUGGAGCAUAUAUCUCUGAAGAAAUGACUAAUCUCCGUGAGUGCAUCCCAUAUUCCCUUUGGCAACAAAUCACGAAAAGCUAAUGGGAUGAGUGUUUGCAUAAACACGUGGCAGUCAUGACUCUUCAUUCCAUACAAUCUGCAGUCCUCUAUAUUAACCAGCCUUGAUAUGUUCGAUGCAUGUCCAUCCGGAAAACGCAGACUCUUAAGUCAUUUGUAGACUAGCAGUUGUGCGUUUUUCUCUAACACGAAGCUUGCUCUUGGUUUUGCAACCCGUGACUCAUCAUAAACCAACUCCAUAUUUUUACGGUUACAGUAUAAAGCUAUAUUCAAUCUAGCCUUGAUGUUGUCCUUUGUCUUCCCCUUCACAUCCAUGACGGUGUUGAAAAUGUUCUCAAACAUGUUCUUUUCGAUGUGCAUGACGUCAAGGUUAUGGCGGAGCAGAUUGGUCUUCCAAUAAGGAAGCUCCAAAAAGAUACUUCGCUUUACCCAAUUAUGGGUCAAACCAAAACCAGGAAACUUUUGCUUACCUGAUUGAAGGCCAAACACAAUGUCACCGUACUCUGAGACAACAUCAUGCAAUUCUUCACUAGAAAGACGCAGGGAUGCAACAUCUUUUUCAACUCUGCCAACAAAGAAAUCUUUUUUGUUCUUUCUGUACCUGUGAUGAAGUGGCAAGAAGCGACGGUGACAGUAAAAAAAAGAAGCUUUACCUCCAUUUGCUAGCGUGAAUGCCUUGUUGUUUUCCAUGCAGUAUGGACAUGCGAGUUUCCCAUGCGUGCUCCAACCAGAAAGCAUUCCAUAAGCUGGAAAAUCAUUGAUAGUCCACAUCAAUGCCGCCCUCAUAAGGAAAUUUUGUUUCCUCGAUAUAUCAUAAGUCAGAGCUCCGGAGGACCACAACUGCGCCAACUCAUCAAUCAACGGUCGAAGACAAACAUCUAUAUUCCGCCCCGGGCUUCUUGGACCGGGUAUGACAGUAGAUAAAAACAUGAACUCCGGCCUCAUACACAUUCCCGGUGGCAAGUUAUAAACUGUGAGUAUGACCGGCCAACAAGAAUAAGGAGCAGCAAAUGACCCAAAUGGGUUGAAUCCGUCUGUACACAACCCAAGACGCACAUUCCUUGAUUCAGCUGAAAAGUGAGGAUGAACACUGUUAAAGCGUUUCCACGCUUCGCCGUCAAAAGGAUGAACCAUCACUCCAUCAACCGCAUGGUGUGCUUGGUGUCAUGUCAUGUGCUCAGUAGUCCUUGGUGACAUGAAUAACCUCUGCAGUCUAGGUGUGAUCGGGAAGUAUCUAAGUUUUUUAUAUGCCACUAGAGUCUUUUCCCUGCUAGUUCUAGGUUUGUAACGGGAAUGCCCGCAUGUCAUGCACUUGGUCAUCUCAGCAUUUUCAAGGUAGUAUAACAUGCAGAAGUUAGGGCACAUGUCAAUUUUUUGGUAUCCUAAACCGAGGGGUUUCAUCAUGGACUUCGCAGCAUAGAAGUUCUCUUUCAGCCUGUUCCCUUCAGGUAAAAUGCUUCUCGCCCAUUCAAUAAUCUUGUCAUACUCGGCCUCACUCAACCCGUGAUCUGACUUGAUGGUGAACAUUUGUGCUACGACCGAUAAUUUACUGUGGUUCGUGCAGCCAUCCCAUAAUGGUUCGUUAGAAUCUUUCAACAAAUCAAAAAACCUAGCUGCAUCUGCAUUAGGUUCUUCUUCUACGAUUGGACAUUGACUGCCAUUACCUUGAUUCAUUCUCAUUGCAUCCAUAACCAUAUUUCUGUAAGGAUAAGUGUUGUCAUUUGCCGCUUCAUGCACGUUGCUAGCACUAGAAGUAGACCCAACCACCAUUUCUUCCAUUCUCCUCUUACUACCAAAUACUUCUCCAUAUGCAUACCAACACUGGUAAUUCUCCAUAAACCCUUUGUGUAGAAGAUGCAUCAUUACAACAUCUGGAUGCAGAUACUUUUUAUUUUCACACUUCCUGCAUGGACACCUAAUACCGCCUCCAAUAAAAUUUCUAGGAAUAGAUGUUGCGAAAUUAAUAAAACCCUGAACCCCGUUACAAUAAUCCAUCCUCCGCAAUCCUUGGGGUGAAUCUCGAUACAUCCAUGAACGAUCAUCCAUGACUUAUAUCGAACCUCUAUAAAAUUAUGAUGACAUCAUGUAUUAAUUAACUAAGUUAGGUAAAUAAACUUGCAAAAAUAUUACUUUACCUCGAGAUUAUCCAACAAACCAAUCACAACUUCUCAUAAAUAUUAAAUAUUCAUUAUUAUUUAUCAACGUCCAUACGAAUUAAAAUAUAUAAAUUUACAGAAAUUACCACUCCGCAAUACCAUUGAUAAAACUUUAAACGGACCCAUUAAGCAAGCUAUUAAUUAUUUCAAAAUAGCACAUGUAAUUCAUAUACUAACAAAAUACAUUUACUAAAAAAACAAUAAAAUUCACAUUUAAUUAAAUGUUAAAAUUUAAAAAGAUAGAAUUACUUACAAAAAUUGAUAAAAUCCAUCGGUAAAUCAGAACACGGAUGCUGUGACCACAAAACUUCAAGAAAUAUAACUUGUUGUGCUGAUAUGAGGAAGAUUUUUUUUUGGGGGGGGAGGGGGGGCUGGUUGUUUGCAGAUGGGGAGAGUUGGGAUUAGGAAGAAGAAGGAGAAAUAGGGGAGGAGAGGGUCAGCAGAGCUGACAUGUAUAUAUAUUAACUUUUUCCAACGGUUUCACCGACGGACACUCCAUCGGUGAUUCUGACGGACACAUAGACACGUCACCAUACGGAUCUGCCAUUUCAAAUCCCUCGGUGAGUCCGUCGGCAAUUUAAACGGCGAACCGGUCACGUCACUGUACGGGCUGUCGUUUUGAUUUCGUCGGAACAAAAUAACCCGCCAAAACCUCCACGUCAGUGACCCGCCUUUUUUUUAAAUUCGGAAACUUUUUCGUCCGUAAUUCAGUCGGUAACUACCGACGGAAAUUUUCCGUCUGUAGUUACCGACUGAAUUACGGACGGAAAAUGGUCCGUCGGUAGUUACCGACUGAAUGACAGACGGAAAAGUGUCUGUCGGUAAUUUCGACCUCAAAUUACCGACAUAAAUAUUUCGUCUGUAAAUCCGUUGGUAUUUAACGAAUUUCUGGUAGUGGAACUAAGCAUAUUGAGAUCGAUUAUCAUCUUACUCGUCAUCAUCUCAAGCAUGGAACCAUUGCUUUGCCUUUUGUUCCUUCUUCCUUGUAGAUUGCAGAUUUCUUUACCAAGGCGCAUUUCAUCUCUCGUUUUCAUUUUCUGGUUGGCAAACUCUCAAUGCUUGUAGCUGCCGCAUCGUGAGUUUAAGGGAAGAUGUUAAAUAACAUUUAUGUAGUCUUGUUUAUUAAGGGUAGAAUAUUACUUUCAGUUUAACCUAUAUAUACUUUAUUUGUUUUUAGGUUAAGACUAAGCACUCAUAAUAUACAGAUUAUUCAGAAUUCUAGCCUCCCUUUUGUGUUUGAUCUUAAUUCAUUUUAACAAUGCUAUUUGUUGAAGUUGUUGCCAGCCUUCAAAAGGUCACUCGAUCUCAUUUUAGAAACUGAUUUCUCAAACAUGGAAACCUGGAAUCUCAAAAUCUUCUUAAUCAGUACAUUCCUAGUGAACAAGUAUGUCAAGGAGAAAUAAAAGGAUUGUCAAUGCAUUUUUCCAGACUAAAGUUGAGUUUAAGGACAUUCAAAAAGGUACAGUUUGCAAGGCCCGGGGGGAUUUCCCCUGAGAAAUUGUUGGAAGAGAGGUAGAGAGACGUGGCAUACUGAAUUAUUUUAGAGAUAUUUUGUGGAAUAGAUCCAAAGAGCUCAUUGCUGGAGAGAUCUAUGCCCGUUAUGCUUGUGCAGUGUUUAAGGCCAAGAGGGAACCUGCCCUUGAGACCCAUAUCCGGAAGUCUGAUAUUCAACACCCUAUUCUCACUAGGAUCGAUGCCACCAUUCAACCCCCAAAAAGGUACAAAUGAAUCCUUCAGUAGAAUUCUCAAAGUUCCAAGAAGAGUUCGAGUAAUUAUCAGGGAAAGGUUUAGCCAGGUUGAGCAACAAUAGUGGUCACGGCUGCAACAAAGUUGUCACUGGCAGCAGCGUUGUGGGCAACAAUGUUGCUGGCACGAGUCAUGAACGUUUCUGUCCAUGAUGGUUAAUUCCUUGAGAUUGUUGGUAAGGACACAAUGGAGGAACAACAUUAAAGAUACUAUCUUUAAAGAUAUUUCCUCUAAAAAAAAAUUAUAUUUAAAAAUUAUUAUUAUAAACAAAAAACACUCAAAAAGUAUAGGUUUUACCUCGUAUAUAAAGGAAACAAAGAUUUUUUUCUUGCUCAACCCAACCUUAAACCUAUUAGAUUUAAAUAUUUCAACUUAAAAAAAAAUAUUAUACAUUUAAUUGGAAUAAAAAUCUUUUAAAUAACUUCUCAAAUUAUAUUAUAUUAUUUACAACAAAUUUUUCAAACCAUUGCAGUAAUUACAAUUCAAAUUAAAUUAUAAAUUAUUAAAUAUUAUUUUAAUAUAUUUUUAAAUAAAAAACAUUUUAAAAAAUAAAAAAAUACUCCUGAUAUACCCUGCUAUGCAGCUCUGCCGCUUGGAAAAUGAGCUAGAAAAGGUUACGGGAGGAGAAAGCAAUGCAAAUUCAUUUGAACAGCCUCCAUGAUUUUCAUUUUUGCAAUUAAUAGAAAAUUUAAAAUAAUUAUGAAAAAUCAAUGUAACUUCCCUCAUAUAUAUAUAUAUAUAUAUAUAUAUAUAUAUAUAUAUAUAUAUAUAUAUAUAUAUAUAAUCCGGGAUGUUCGGGUCAGCUUACGCGUACCACGAUUUAUUUUUGGAUCCANNNNNNNNNNNNNNNNNNNNNNNNNNNNNNNNNNNNNNNNNNNNNNNNNNNNNNNNNNNNNNNNNNNNNNNNNNNNNNNNNNNNNNNNNNNNNNNNNNNNAUUCUUCAAGGAUAGUUUAAUGUUUUAAAAGUAUAAAAUUUAAAAGAAAUUUUAAAAAAGUAAUUAGGAUUUCUGUUUUGAAUACUUCAAGUAUAAUUCAAACUUUUAAAUUUACAAAAUUUAAAAGAAAUUUUAAAAAAGUAAAUAGAAUUUCUGUUUUGGAUUCUUCAUGGAUUGUUUAAAUGUAUUAAAAUUAUAAAAUUUAAAAGGAAUUUAAAAAAAGUAAUUAGGAUUUCUGUUUUGGAUUCUUCAAGGAUAGUUAAAAGAUUUAAAAUUAUAAAAUUUAAAAGAAUUUAAAAAAAGGAAUUAUGAUUUCUGUUUUUGAUUUUUCAAUGAUAAUUAAAAGUUUUAAAAUUAUAAAAUUUAAAAGAAUUUAAAAAAAGGAAUUAGGAUUUCUGUUUUGGAUUCUUCAAGGAUAGUUUAAAUGUUUUAAAAGUAUAAAAUUUAAAAGAAAUUUUAAAAAAGUAAUUAGGAUUUCUGUUUUGAAUACUUCAAGUAUAAUUCAAACUUUUAAAUUUACAAAAUUUAAAAGAAAUUUUAAAAAAGUAAAUAGAAUUUCUGUUUUGGAUUCUUCAUGGAUUGUUUAAAUGUAUUAAAAUUAUAAAAUUUAAAAGAAAUUUAAAAAAAGUAAUUAGGAUUUUUGUUUUGGAUUCUUCAAGGAUAGUUAAAAUAUUUAAAAUUAUAAAAUUUAAAAGCAUUUAUAAAAAGUAAUUAGGAUUUCUGUUUUGGAUUCUUCAAGGAUAGUUAAAAGAUUUAAAAUUAUAAAAUUUAAAAGAAUUUAAAAAAAGGAAUUUGGAUUUCUGUUUUGGAUUCUUCAAGGAUAGUUUAAAUAUUUUAAAAGUAUAAAAUUUAAAAUAAAUUUAAAAAAAAUAAUUAGGAUUUCUGUUUUGGAUUUUUCAAGGAUAAUUAAAAGUUUUAAAAUUAUAAAAUUUAAAAGAAUUUAAAAAAAGGAAUUAGGAUUUCUGUUUUGGAUUCUUCAAGGAUAGUUUAAAUGUUUUAAAAGUAUAAAAUUUAAAAGAAAUUUAAAAACCAAAUUAUGAUUUUUGUUUUGGAUUCUUCAAGGAUAGUUUAAAUGUUUUAAAAGUAUAAAAUUUGAGAGAAAUUUUGCAAAAGUAAUUAGGAUUUCUGUUUUGAAUACGUCAAGUAUAAUUCAAACUUGGAAAUUUACGAAAUUUGAAAGAAAUUUUGAAAAAGUAAAUAGGAUUUCUGUUUUGGAUUCUUCAUGGAUUGUUUAAAUGUAUUCCAAAUAUAAAAUUUAAAAGAAAGUUUAAAAAAGUAAUUAGGAUUUCUGUUUUGGAUUCUUCAAGGAUAGUUUAAAUGUUUUAAAAGUAUAAAAUUUAAAAGAAAUUUUAACAAAAUGACUAUGAUUUCUGUUUUGGAUUUUUCAAUGAUAAUUAAAAGUGUUAAGAAUUAUAAAAUUUAAAAGAAAUUUAUAAAAAGUAAUUAGGAUUUCUGUUUUGGAUUCUUGCAAAGAUAGUUAAAAGAUUUAAAAUUAUAAAAUUUAAAAAAAGAAAUUAGGAUUUCUGUAAACCCCCGUAAAUAAAAAUAAAUAAUAAUAAUAAUAAAAAAAACACAUAGGAUCGAAGUAAUGACAUUUCGAUGAGUAAUGGAUAUUCGGUAUGAAAGAAAUGAAUAAAUAGUAGGGAUGACAAUAAAUGUGUCAUGUGAGAGAGAGAAUGAUCUCCAUAAACAAAUUUAAAGAUAUUGUUGAAGUCGAAAAGAGAGUCAUGAUUUUUAGUUUAAAACUUGUAACGUUAGCGAAACUAGUGACGAGUUUUAAUGGAUAAAAGAAUAAGAAAAAAAAAACCAGAAGAUAUGUAAACCCGGGUCAAAACACGUAUUUUGACAAAUUAAUGAUAAAUGUGGUAAUAUUGAAUUUAUUGAGUAUAAAUUAAGAGGAAAUGUCACGAGGAUCUAAGUAAAUAAAUUAAUGCGUGAAAUUCAGAUUUUAGCGUAAAAGACAUUGAUUGUCUAGUUUUACGGUAUCGAUGAUAUAUCUCAAUCCGACCGUUGGAUCGGGCUGAAAUUUUAUAAGGAAUCUCCAGACAUAUUAUUUUAUAUUAGGUUCAAAUUUCGUGUCAAUCGGAGUUUGGGAAGGAUUUGCGAGAGCACUGAAAAUCGGGUAAAUUGAAGAAGAUGACACAAAGGGCAUUAAUAAGGGCUUUUUUGUAAUUUUAUCAAAACAAAUACUCUCCUCUCCUCUCUUUAAAAACAGAGCACGUCCUCUGCAAAUGGAAAAACAGGAGGGAGACCAUUUGUUUUGUCCCAUUUUCUUCAUUUUCUCUUCAUUUCUUCAAGCUAAAUCAAAAGGGAGUGUGCUUAGGAGGAUUAUAUCCAAGAAAACAAAUUAAAUGACAACUUAGAGAGUUAUAGAGCUUGAGAGAAACAAAGAGAAGAAGCUGGAAAUUGGAAGAGGAGGACAUGAUUUUUGUAAAUUUUUGCAAGAAUUCAUUGAAAUAAGUUAAAGUAGCAAAGGUAAGCAACAUACCCUUUAGUAAUUUCGUUUUUCUCUCUUGUUCUUGCAUGAGGAGAAGAAAACCUCCAAGUUUAAAAUUCUAGGGUUCAUGUAAAUAUUUUGGGGGAGUAAUUGUUCAUGUGAAUUUCAAGAUUAAUUGCAUGAUAAUGGCUUGAUUUGCUGAAAAAUAGAAGGAAUAAAUUGAUUUGAAACUAUGGGUUUUGGGAUUGCAACAGGGCAGGAACUUCGGCAGCCAUAUUUUGACUUUGCACCGUUGGAUUAGAUUGAAUUUUGGAUAUGUUAUUAUACUCAAUGUCACCUACAUUCUGACCGGAGGGAUUGCAAAUAUCCGAUUUCGUUUGAGGGCUGUCACCGGAGGAACAUUUCUGGAAAAUCACCCUUCAAGACAGCUUUGUUCGUCGGCCGUUAUAUCAUCGUUUCACCGUUGGAUUGGUCUGGAUUUUGGACAUGUUAUUCAUCCAGAUGUUAUAUAAAUUCUGAACGGUUUGGAUCGGAAAAGAACACUCCUACCAGAAAUUAUACUUCCCGAACAGCAGGUCUCCAAAUUUCAGGUCAGUCCAGUAUUGUUCUGAUAUCGGGAGGUUUAACCGUUGGAUGUAUGUUAAUUUUGGAUAUGUUAUUCGAAUGAUGAUGAUGUAUAAUUCCACCGUUUGGAUUUAUUGAAUUCUAAAUUUACAGAAUGAUGUUUUAAGUUUGGUUUGAGAAAUAUUGAAUGAGAAUAUGAGGUUUAGCAUAAAAAGUAUGUUUUGGGACUAAGGAUAAUGGCAAUGGGUUUAAUGAUGAUGGUUGUGUUUGUGUUAUGUUUGAGUCAUGUUUGAUGUGUUGAUAAGUGAUGAUAUAGUUAAAUUCUAUAAAGAAUAGUGAUUGACUAAUACUUUGGUUGUGUUAGAAUGGGAAAUCAUGUUGUAAAUUUUGACCAAAACCAUAGCAGGGUAUGACCCCCAGGGUGUAUGGCUGCUGGGUUUGGCUGUGCAACCAUACCCAAUAUCCUUGGGUAUGGUUGCGCAGCCAAACCCAACACCUUUGGAGGGUAUUGGGUCCUGCACCUGAUCAAAAUAGCUAUAGUAUAAGUAAUCCAUCCUAGGGACAUCGGCAUAGGAAGAUUGAAAAAAAAAAAACAAAACGAUUGAUUUCCUUUGGUAGAUGGAUUGGAAAUCCAUGUUAUCACGUAUGUGAGAAUUCAACCCCCCGUACCUCUCUAUAUCUCUGUACAUCGUAAAUAUAUAUAUAUAUAUCUUUUUCACUACAGUAUAACACCACCAUUGAAUAUUAAUGCAAGAUCAUUGAUCAAUAAGGACGACUGGCUUCCAGACCCACCAACCAUACCCAAUUAAAUUUCUUUGUCGUUGCCUUCUCUGAUUUAAAUUUAUGUUUCAAAAUAAAUUGAUGAGAUUUUUUUUUAUAUUGUAUAAAAGUUGAGUGAUAAUAGUUUUUCCCAUUUUAGGUUGGGUUGAAUUUCCUAAUUAAAUCAUGUCUGAUUUUGCAUUUCGAAAAUUCCUUGAAAAGUUUUUGAUAAUUUUUAAGUUUUUUUUCUUUGCUUGAAAUUAAUAUUUUUGUUAUGCUUUUGUAUUUUUUUUUUUAAAAUAUGUUGAGAUUAUGUCUGGCUGCGAUGCCAAACCCAAGAAAUUUUAAAAUUUUUAAUUUUUUUCUUUACUUCAAAAUAUUAUUUUCUCCAUGUUUUUGUAUUAUUUUUUAAAUAUUUUUUUUAAAAAUAUAUUGAGAUUGUGUCUGGUUGAGAGGCGAGACUCAAGAAAUUAAAAAAAAAUUAUUUUUUUCUUUACUUCAAAUUAAUUUUCGUUUGAUAUUUUUUUCUUCACUUCAAAUUAUUUAGAUCAUGUUUGAUUUUGCAUUUCAAAAAUUCUUUGAAAUUGUUUUGACAAUUUUGAAGUUUUUUUUCUUUACUUCAAAUUAAUUUUUUUUUUAUGUUUUUGUUUUUUUUUAAAUGUUGGCAUUGUGUUUGUCUGCGAUGCUAGACCCAAGAAAUUUUCAAAUUUUAAUUUUUUUCUUUCCUUCAAAAUAAUAUUUUUUUUCAUGUUUUUAUAUUUUUUUUAAAAUAUAUAUUUUAAAAAAAUAUUGAGAUUUUGUCUGGCUUGUUUUUGGGGCCUCUAAACCCAAGGGCAGUUAGAACAGACCUCGACGGUGGGUCUGCACCCAGCGCACUGGUCCAGAGGCCAGGAGCGCGGGGUUGCAGACCCUGCCUCGCGGGUCUGCAAACCCUAGGGUCGCAAGGUUGCACACUCGCUCGCACUGGAAUGCAGCCAGGCGCGCGGGUCUGCCCUACCACCUAAGGCAUGGCAGGCCCCGUGCCAGGUGUCUGCAUGCUAGGGCCUUGGCCAACCCUUGUGCCAAGUGGCAGCAGCCUAGAGCACGAGCAGGCGCACGUGGUCUGCCCCACUCCCAGGCCUGACAGCCUAAGCGCCAAGUGUCCCCAGCCUUAUGGGUUGUGCGUCCAGCGAGGCACUUGGGGCCUACACUAAUAUUUUUUUCAAAAAUUAUUUUUUAACAAUAAUAAUAAUAAUAAUAAUAUUUGUUAUUAUAUUUUUUUUUUGCAAUUUCCUUCUAUUUUUAAUAUUAAUACAAAUAAUAAUAUUUAUUAAUAAUAUUUUUUUUAACAUUCAAAGAAAUUAAAAAUAAAAAUAUUUAGAAUAAAAAUAAAAAUAUUUAGACUACAAAUAAUAAUAUUUAUCACAUAUAUAUAUAUAUAUAUAUAUAUAUAUAUAUAUAUAUAUAUAUAUAUAUAUAGCCGGAAGAAAUUAGAAAAAUAAUAGGAGUCUGGAGCGGUCAGAAAAUGGUUAGAAAAAUUGAUUAAGGAGGUUAAAAAAUACAAAGAUUGAAAUUUUGACAAUAUAUACUUGAAUGAUGAGAGCCCUGUUGGAAAAGAAAAUUCAAUUUGAGGAGAAAAGUACAAAAUUAGAUGUUUAUGGACUCAAUUGGAUUUUAUUGAAGGUUUAAUUGAAUUUAUAGAGGGUUUGAUUGCAAGAAAAAUUGUUUUUUAAGUCAAUUUGGGCUUUAAUUGGAAGAAAUUAAAGUUCUGGGGUCAAAUUAUAAUUUUUAAGAGUUGAUUUGGUCAAAUUAGGGGCUUAAUUGCAUAAAUAUUGAAGUUUGAUGGCCAAUUAGGGACUUAAUUGAAGAAAUCCGAAACCAAGGACCAAACUAGAAAAGGCGCGUAAAUAGAGGGGCUGUAAUUAACCAAAUCAGGGCUUAAAUUAAAGAAAUUGGAAGUUUAUUGAUCAAUUGAGGGUCAAAUUGUAUAAAUCGGAAACCAAGGACGAAAGUGGAAAAGGCGGCCAACUAUAAGGGCGGCGAUUGAAGUUGGCAGGGAUUCAAUUGAAAUGAACAAAAGAUAAAUUAAGGACUGAUUUGGAAGUUGACGUGUUGGCGCCAUAUUUAAAUGAAACGGCGCGUUUUGUCCAAAACGACGCCGUUUCAUGUUGAAAAAAAAUAUAACAGAACGGUGUCGUUUUGAGAGACACUGUUCCUCCUUCUUCUUCCCCUGGACGCGCAGCAGGGGAAGAAAGAAACUUUUGUUUUUUCUUCUUUAAUUCUUCAUGCCUAUCUCCCUCCCCGCGUGCUUUGCCAAACAUCCGAAGCCCGAUGCCCCCUCAUAAUGAGAAACUAGCAAAGACGUGCCCAGCAAACCGAGCCCGUUGGUCACCUCAACCGGCGUCGUGACAGGGCAGUAAAGCCCUGCUCCCCAUGCGCAGCAAUAGGGCGGCAAUAGGGAUGCCCCCGCUCCCUUUGCCCUAUAUAUACCACCCAACGCCAGCACAUGACAAAAAAAAGACAGAGGACGAAAAAGAAAACGAGAGGAAAAGAAAAGGAAAGCAGACGGUGGAGAGAGAGAGAGAGAGAGAGGAAGACGAGUUUGAAACAGGGGAGGGUUUGAGAGUAAAAAAAAACAGACAGAGAGGAACAAAAAGAAAGGUAAACAUAGCAGCAGAAGAGGAAAGAAAACGAAGGAGAAGGGAAGAGCAGUAACCUCUCGCUCCGCCGUUUGUAACAGCGACACCGCCACCGGCCUCCACCGCAGCACCGCCAGCGAAGCAGCCAGACCAGCAAGGCACCUCCUCCUCCGCGUCAGGUAACUUUUCUUUCCCCUCCCUUUUUACUUCAUUUUGGGCAUAAGUUUCUCCUGCAUGCAGAAUGAAUAGCGUUCUGCAUGCAGGAGGAGGAGGAGAGGGGGAAAAUAAUUCCCCCUCCCUGUUUUUUCUUUCUGGGCCAGGCCGGUUCUGGCCCAGCCCUUAUGUCUGGGCCGGGUCCGGCCCGGACCCAAAGAAGCAGAGAGAACUGUUGGGCCGAGAUCGGCCUAACCCUUUUGGGCUGAGGCCGGCCCAGUUAACUGGGCGACCCAGCCCACACAAUUAUAAUAUUAUAUAUUAUAGUAUAUUAUAUUAUAUAUAUAUAUAUAUAUAUAUAUAAUUUUUUAAAAAACAAAUUCUAAAAAAUCCUUAAAAAUUUUGUUGAUUUUUCUGCAUAUUUUUUUUAUCAAAAUUAUUUAAUACUAGUUUGUAUUUUUAUACCGUAAAGAUACAGAUCCAGUAUUAAAACAUCCGGUUUUCGUCAAAACAUUGCAAAAAAUUUAUAUAAAAUAAAAAAAUAUUUUGUUUUUCAUGCAUACGGCCAAGUAUUUCAAAGAUAAGAAAAAUCAUCACAUCGUAUUUUCAUACAAAAAAAAAUCAUAUUGUUUUUUUAUACAUAAAACACAAAAUAUUCAAAAAUAUGUUUUAGCAUGCACUUUGGCUUUAAUAACAAGUUUGUUAGAGCCAUGAGAACUAGGCCAAUAUUUCAAAAAUUCUAAAAAAAUAUUUUUGUCUUCUUUUAGUAUCUGGGAUUACGAAUUUAUACGUAAAACGUAUUCCUGAUAUUAAAAAUGUAGUUUUCUUAUAUAGGCGUUAGAACGGUUAGAUUUUUACCCGAUAAGAUAAGGACCUCUUUACUGAGGAGGACUUUUCUUGAACUAUAGACGGACCAACAAUUAGAAAUACAAUAGCACCUUAGCUUUUUAUCAGACAAUCAAACAAUGCAGCUUACCUUAGGUAAGGCGUAUUUGGGGUGCUAAUACCUUCUCUUUAUGCAAUCAAUCCCCGUACUCGAUCUCUGAGACCAGUUAGAGUUCCUAGUGACCAAAAUACUAGGUGGCGACUCCCAUUCUAUUUUCCACCGAUAAAAGACAAGAUUUUCUUGUCUCCCCAUAUUUGCCACAUAGAUAUACAUUUAGAUUGAAGUGGAAUAUUCAUCACGACGCCGCACACGUGUGACAAUAUUAAGAAUAAUAUCUACAGUAAUAAAUUUUUUAUGUUAAUUAACAAUGAGACAAUAAUAAUAAUGAUAAUUGCUAUUGUAUUUUUUCCCCCUACAGGGUCUGCCGAUCCAGCCAUGCGAGCCUCUAAACCCAAGGGCGGUUAGAACAGACAUCGGCGGUCCGGUCUGCACCCAGUGCGCGGGUCAUGAGGCUAGGAGCGCGGGGUGCAGACCCAACCUCGCGUGUCUGCAGACCCCAGGAUUGCGGGGCUGCAGACCCGCUUGCCGUGGGGCUGCAACCAGGCGCGCGGGUCUGCCCCUAGCACCUAAGGCGUGGCAAACCCCGCGCCAGGUGUCUAUAUGCUAGGGCCUCGGCCAGCCCUAGCACCAGGUGACAGCAUCCUGGGGCGCGCGCAAGCGCGCAUGGCCAACCCAACGCCCAGGCUAGUCAGCCCAAGGGGGUGUGCGUCCACCUAGACGCUUGGGGCGUGCAAUAAGAUUUUUUUCAAAAAAUGUUUUUUAAAGAAUAAUAAUAAUGAUAAUUGUUAUUAUAUUUGUUUUUUCCAAUUUUCGUCUAUUCUUAAUAUUAAUACAUUUAAUUAAAAUAAUAAUAAUAAUAAUAACAGUAAGAAUACAAAUAAUAAUAUUAUCAUAUUAAUAAUAAUAUUAAACUUGUUUGACCAAAGUUGAUACAAUAUUAAUAAUAAUAUGAAGCUUGCUUGACCAAAGUUAAUACAAUAUUAAUAAUAAUAUUUAUCACAUAUUUUAUCAAAUUAUUUAUAAAUAAUAAUAUAUUUUUUAUGUUUGAAAAAUCCAUUUUUUAUAUACUCACAUCAAAAAAUUCAUUCGUGUAAAAAGGAAAUAAUAAUAUUAACUAUAUAUGCAUAUCCAUAAGAUCUCAAUGGAUUGCCCCUUACUACAGAAUGUAGCACAUCCUUAAGCUAGAAUAAAGUGCCUUCACUGAUUAAUCUAGCAUAUCUAAUUAUUUGAAAAAAAUUUCAAAUUUCAUUUCACCUUACAUAAGAAUUUAAUACUUAAUAUUAUUUGAGAAUACAUAAAGAUUGCAAGCAGCGGCUUUUAGUGAACUUUUGAUGACAUGAAACUGCCACAAAAUGGGUCCUAUCCGAGAGGGCGUUCUUUUCUGUUCUGUUAUCACAUAGAACUGAAAUCUGUUCACAGUACCCCUCCAAGAAAAUGGUCUCUCAAGGUAAGUCCUGAGGAAUUUGACACAAAUAAAACGAUAUAUCUUGUCCCAGUAUCAAAAAAAUGUUAAAAAAUGUGAGCAUAUGAACACAUGAAGUGGUCUCAGAAUCUAUGUUCCUAUUAUUUUUAACAAUACGGAAAGGCAUAACUAACUGUUUGUACUAUAAUAUUCUUUGGUAUAUUUAUUACCGAUGGACUCACUAGCAGACCAUAAAUUAUUGACGAGAGUUUUUUCGACGGACUGUCUCCAUCCGCGUGAGCCUGUCAACAAAAUACAUACCAAUGAACUGUGAGUGUGAAUAUCGACAAAAUUUUCUGUUAGUAAAACUGUUAAAUUUGGUAGUGAUCGCUUGAUCCGCCACUAGAAGUGAUGACAAGUUAUGACCAUUUUAAGUUGUUAUUCUGGUCUGACACAAUUAGACCUUCUCUUGGACCUAGACUUGUCCUACUAGUCUAUAAAUAUAUAUGUUAGAACAUCCAUAUCAUCUGUCUAGAGCAGAUACUAAUCUAAUUGUGACAGACCCACAUAUGGCAGCUCAGAAUCAUCUGUUAUCGCAAACCCAACUACAUCAUUAAUGGUCUCUCAAGGUAAGUCAUGAGGAAUUUGAAGCAUAUAAAACGAUAUAAGUUGUCCCAAUAUCAUAAAAAUGUUUUAAAAAAAUGUGAGUAUAUGAACCCAUGAAGUGGGAUCAGAAUCUAUGUUCCUAUUGUUAUUAACAAAACGGAAAGCCACAACUAACUGUUUGUACUAUAAUAUUGGGAGUGAGAGGUACAAUGUCCAGAAUGCUUCUAAGGAUAACCAUAUCCAUAAGAUCUCAAUGGAUUGCCCCUUACUGCAGAAUCUAGCGCAUCCUUAAGUAAAUAAAGAAAGCUAGAAUAAAGUGGCCUCAGUGAUUAUUUAGCAUUAUUAAGUAGGCCAAGUACUCUUCACUGCUUAUUUCCUAAUAAUUCCUUACUGUGGAAUUGCACUUACAAAUAAAGAACUUGUUCUUGAUAUUUUCGUACGGAAUUUCGUUUAUUCGGAUUAAUUUGAGGUUAACUAGAAUAAGAAAUAAAGAUAUAGGUUUUGGAAAGAAUAGAAAAAAAGAUUAUCAAAAGAAAUUAGAAAGGAAAAGUUAGUUAUAUGGAAUCAGAUUCACCAUUAAACUAAAGAGUCGGAAGGAAUCAUUUGUUCAAUAAUUGAAUGCGAUUUUUGUCUUAUAUAUAUUUUAGGAACUUUGCACUCGAUCGAAAGGGAACAUUUGUGCCACCAAGUACUAACAAUAACUGUCCAUAGUUUUGCAUGCAUAGACACUUUUUUUCCCGGUGUUAAUAGAUAUUUUCGGACCAACUUGAAAGCAAUUAUUAGAGAUAUCAAUUCAAUCUGAAUUCAAUAUGCAUACAUAUAUAUUACUUUUUUUUAUUUUAUAUUAAAUAUUAAAUAAUGUUUAGGAAAUAAAAAUCUAAAUGGAUCGAUGAAUAUAAUAUUAGUUUCUAAAUGAUGCAACAUAGCUAGAAGAAACUGAAGGUUAUGAGUGGACCUGAUAUAGCUAGAUGAGGGUCAAACCACCAACAAAUUACAUAGAUGACUUAACAUUUAUUUUUAUGGUUUAAUAAGAUAGGAAUAGGUUCAAGAAAAAAAUAUAGUCAUGCCAAACCAAUAAAGUAUCUAAAAGAAGCCAUAACUUGUCAUCCAAUCGUCAGAUAAAUCUCAAAUUUUUACUUAGAUUCCCAAAGCCCAUCUCUAUGGAGGAGCUCUUUGGCAAUCCAUCCUCUAAAUGGAUUUCCUCAAAUUAAGAUGAGAAGAUCCGGCUUAAGCCAAUUUUUUUGUUGUUUUUUUUUUUUUUCAAAAUUUUAUGUUUUAUCUCGGAUUUUCCAUUAUUUUUCAAAUUAAAGAAACCGAGAUAAAAUACCCUGAAUCUUCUUUCAUAAUUUGCUUUCGAGAAGGUGUAGUGUUUUUGCUACUUUUACUUUUGGACCUGACUUGAUUCCUGACCGGUAGAAACAGCAUUAGUCCAAAAGCAGGGAAGCUUUUGUUUUCUUUAAUCACAUGAUCAGAUAUUCUCAUUUAUGCCCAGCACAAAUUCAUAGAAGUGGCUCUAAUGAUUGGCUGACAACAGUUGUUAAUGAGCAGUGUUUGCGUCCCUUAUUUUUCAGUUUACUAAGUAUUUAGAACAUUCAAUUCCAAUCCAAAGUCGAUAAUAAUAAACUCUUGGUGAUGGUUUUGUUAUCGAAAGUGAUCGGACAUCGGACGACAAAAAAACCAGUAAAAUUUCUUGAACACAUCCAAAUCUAACAGUUUUUACUUUUUUUGUGUUUAAAUAUGAUAUUAAUAAACUAUUGAUGAUAAUCUUUUUUUCAUUUUAUGAUGUUUUUAUCGUAGUAGUGAUAAGAUGAAGAAAAGCUAUUGAUUUUUCUCUCAGCAAUGGUUUGUUUUAUCGUACACAAAUGUUGGGUGCUUUUAUUUACAAAAAGGAGUACUGUCUAACAAUAUUCAUUCCACAGCUGUUGUCAACCAAACCUUCCCGAUCUAUAUAAAGGUUGGUUUGGCCUCACACAUAUUAGCCAAGCAAGUAAACCAGCUCGACCUAUAUACAGCUACUUGUCUUGUGUAUUGACUGACAAAUUGUAGUUAACAUGGCACGUCAGGCAGACCGUCUUGCUAAGAUUGGGCUGGAGGGCUUUGCAGCCAGAGAUGAGCACUUCGGCCGGGCCAAGAGGCGGCCACCAGUGCUGAAGGUUCCCUAUGCUCAUCCGACAUAUUACUAUGCAAACCAAAUUCCUGCAACAGAAGUUAUCGACACCAACGAGGCAGCUCAACGCUACAAGGGGAGGGUUUAUCUCGAUUAUCCUAAGGGGAAACCAGUUCCGUUUUAAAGACCUAGUGAUUAAUCACUUAGCUUUCUUGUAUGCAUAACCUCCUCCAGUUGUGUUACCUUUAGUCCUGUACGAUAUUCUCCCUCUGCUAAACGUAUACGAGGAGAGGUUGCUAGAACUCGAGUCAGGAGCUUCUUGUUACUUCUUCAAAUAAACUUUCUGUGAUUUAUAUAUCAUUUUCUAUUUGUAUGUAUUGUCAUAAUUAUCACCUCUUACUUAGCAUGGAAUUGAAAGAUACAAUAUGCUCUUGAAAUGCUUUGAAGCUCUUCAAGGUGUGAUUUCACCGACUAAGUUGGAACUGUACAGAGCUCAAUGAUGAGCCGUAGGAGGCGUCUCUGAUUGUUGCACUGUAAGCAUGAGUGUACGUAUGAAUAUAACCAGCAGAUCCGCAAAGCACAAGUGAUGACAAGCUUCUUAACACGGCUACAUUUAACAGUUUUACCAACGAAAUUUUUUGUCGGUAUUUACUCUACCAUUCCGUCAGCAUGAAUUUUACCGACUGAUUUACGGACGGAAACAGUCGGUCGAUAAAUUCCUCUUGUCAGUAAUUUUAUUAAUGUCGGUAAAAAAAAACCGAUGGUUUUACAGACAGAAAAUGCAAGCCAAUUUUUUUUCCACUGGAAUAUAAAGACAGAAUUAUUUCUUCGGUGAUUGACAGUGGCAUAUGGAGUAAUUUUAUUCCAAACCCUCUAUAAAAUACCGAAGGAAUUAUUCCAUCGGUGAUGUAACAGUUGAAAUGGCAUAUGCAGUAAUUAUUUUUCAACUCUCUGGAAUAUAACGACCAACAAAGUUUGUCGGUAACUCUGUCCGUAAUAAUUAAAAAAUAUAUUUUAUACAAAAUUGUAUAAAAUUCAAGUAUGUGAAAAUAAAUUACCUAUGCUCAUCCGACAUAUUACUAUGCAAACCAAAUUCCUGCAACAGAAGUUAUCGACAGCAACGAGGCAGCUCAACGCUACAAGGGGAGGGUUUAUCUCGAUUAUCCUAAGGGGAAACCAGUUCCGUUUUAAAGACCUAGUGAUUAAUCACUUAGCUUUCUUGUAUGCAUAACCUCCUCUAGUUGUGUUACCUUUAGUCCUGUACGAUAUUCUCCCUCUGCUAAACGUAGACGAGGAGAGGUUGCUAGAACUCGAGUCCGGAGCUUCUUCUUGCUUCAUCAAAUAAAAUUUCUGUGAUUUAUAUAUUAUAAUUUUCUAUUUGGCUGGUCAAGUAUGCAUUGUCAUAAAUAUCACUCUGCUUCCCUGAUUAUUACCUUAUUCACCUAUUACUUAGCAUGAAAUAUUGAAAGAUUAAUGCAGUCGGAAGCACAACAAUAUAGCUGCAAGCAUAGAAAGACAAAAGAUAAACUGAAAUAAUGUUAAAACACUGAGAAUCCUAAAACCUUAUUUCUAAAUUAUUAAUUUGAUUAAGUUUACCUUCUAAAGAGGUUUACAAUCUCUUUCAUAGACUAGAAAAAUAGGCCAAGAUUCGAAACAAAAUCAGAAUCCCAAAACAUAACGGAAAAUAACAUAAAAUUUAAAAAUAAACAAUAAAUCUGCGAAAAUUAAGGAAAAAUAACAAAAUUAUCCCAAAUAAUAACUAAUUAGCCUACUUUAUGGAGAUACAAUGCUCUGAUAACUAUUGAGUUGUUUUUAAUGGGAAAACGGUUUGUAGAAUCUUCUAUAAAAAUUUAAACCUGAUUUAACGGUUAGAAUAUCUCCUGUUAUCAUUAUUUUAGGCUAUUAUUCUGGUCUUGCGUGAUGAUGCUUUCUCUUGGCCUAAACAUCUUUCACUAGUACAUGAACAUAUCUGUUAGUAGUCCGUUUAGGGCAAACAAAUAAUUAAUUUGCUGUUCAAAUGCUUUGAAGCUCUUCAAGGUGUGAUUUCACUGAAUAAUUUCGAGUUUAGAAUUAUCACCUCAUUUUAGAAUUGUCCCGAGCACAAGGAUAAAAUGAUGAGCCAUGGGAAGCGUCUCCGAUAAAGAAAUAAUAAACGGAGUUCAAGGUAAAACAAUAGCUUAGAAAAAAAAAAGUAGAAAUUUACACGAUAUCUAAGAAUAUCAGCGAUCAUGACCAUGAUUGGAUCAUUUCUGAGUUCUACAACCAAAAUUUCCUUCACAUCUCUUUAACUAAGCUGAUAGUCGAUGAAGAUUUAAGGAAAAACAUGAUUCCCAAUCCGAGCCAUAUGAGCAAGUGUAUCUAGUAAAAAUAUCUUAUCUCCCAUGAAAAUCAUAUUAGUAAGCCUCCCUCUGAAGCAUUGCUUUACACAUAUCUUUUACAGAAAAAAGAGAAAAAUGGGAAAUGCUCCGAGUUAUACCUUUUCUUGAUCUUUCCCAAUCCUUCAUUAUAAAUGGGACCCAUCAAAAACAUGAGAUGUGCUUUAACUUCCUCCAUAUUUCAUCUUAGCCUAGAAGGAUAAACAAGAAUAUUAUUGCUUCUGAAACAUAACGAUUGCAAGCAUCGCCUUUCGGUGAACUUUAGAUGACAUGAAACUGCCACAAAUUGGGUCCUAUCCGAGAGAGUUUUCUUUUUCUGCUCUGUUAUCACACAUAUACAACUGAAAUCUUUAAGUCCUCUUUAGGGUAUCCCUGAAAGAAAAUGAUCUAUCAUGCAUGGAAAGUCCUGAGGAAUCUGAGGCAUCACUACAUGAAAUUCAACCAACGGAAUUGCCGACAAACUGUUUCUUUCGGUAUUUUGCGGUGAUAUUUACCGACCGAAUUACUUCCCUUGCUAAAACCGUCGGUAUAUAUCGAGUGAAUCCCAGAUAGAAUAUAAAGAAUUUUAAAAAACAAAGCAGUGCAAUGACGUGGAAGUUUUGGUGGAUGAUGUUACUGAUGGAAUUACAGAGUGAUUCAAACUGGGAUGUUCGUACAGUGACGUGUUUACUUCACCGACAGAAUGGCCGAUGGAUUUACAAACAAAAAUAUUAUGUCGGUAAUUCCAUCGAUAAUAGUUAAUAUAUUGAAUGUUUUUUUAGUGUUUACUUGUUUUAUUACUUUUCUCAAACAAACAUGUAGUAUGGAUUUAUAAUUUUGUACUUGGUAUGGUUUGUUUUAGAUUUUGUAAAAUUAUAUUUGUUUGUAAAUUGUUGAAAUUUAUGUCGAAUUACCGACUUAGGUGUGUUGUGAUGAAAUAAAUAAUGACUUGUUUGAUGGGUCCGUUUUAAUUUUUGUCAAUUUUAUUGCCGAGUUGUAAUUUCUGUAAAUUAAUGUGUCUAAAUUUGUAUGGACGUAGAUAAUUGAUAAUGAAUAUUUAAGAGAAGUUUGAAAGUAAGUUGGAAAUCUUGAGCUAAACCAAUAUUUUUGCAAAUUUAUUUGCUUGACGUAGUUAAUUAAUACAUGUUGUCAUCAUUAUUUUAUAGAGGUUUGAUAGAAGUCAUGGAUGAUCAUUCAUGGAUGUAUCGAGAUUCACCUUAAGAAUUGCGGAGGAUGGAUUAUUAUAAUAGGGUUCAGAGUUUUAUUAAUUUCGCAACAUCUAUUUCGAGAAAUUUUAGUGGAGACGGUAUUAAGUGUCCAUACAGGAGGUGUAAAAAUAAAAAGUUUUUGCAUCCAGAUGUUGUAACGAUGUAUCUUCUACACAAAGGGUUCAUGGAGGAUUACUUGUGUUGGUAUGCACACAAAGAAUUAUUUGUUCGUAACAAGAGCAUGGUAGAAAGGAUGGUUGGGUCAACUUCUAGUGCUAGCAAUGUGCAUGGAGUUGUAAAUGACAAUAGUAAUCCUUACAGGAAUAUGGUUAUGGAUUCAAUGAGAAUGAAUCAAGAUAAUGCUAGUCAAUGUCCAAUUGUAGAAGAAGAUGCUAGUCAAUGUCCAAUUGUAGAAGAAGAACCUAAUGCAGACGCGGCCAGGUUUUUUGAUUUGUUGAAAGAUUCUGAUGAACCAUUAUGGGAUGGCUGCACAAAUCACUGUAAAUAAUCAGUUGUUGCAUAUGUGUUCACUAUCAAGUCAGAUUAUGGGUUGAGUGAGGCCGGUUAUGACAAAAUUAUCGAAUGGGCGAGAAGCAUUCUACUUGAAGGGAACAAGCUGAAAGAGAACUUCUAUGCUACUAAGUCCAUGAUGAAACCCCUCGGUUUAGGAUACUAGAAAAUUGACAUGUGUCCAAACUUUUGCAUGAUGUACUACCUUGAAAAUGCUGAGCUAACCGAGUGCAUGGCAUGAGAGCAUUCCCGUUACAAAUCCAGAACUGGCAUGGGAAAGACUCUUAUGGCAUAUAAAAAACUUAGAUACUUCCCAAUCACGCCUAGACUGUAGAGGUUAUUCAUGUCACCAAAGACUACUGAGCACAUGAUAUAGCACCAAUCACUUGAUGCAGUGGAUGGAGUGAUAGUGCAUCCUUCUGACGGUGAAGCAUGGAAACACUUUAACAGUGUGCAUUCUCAUUUUUCAGCUGAAUCAAGGAACGUGCAUCUUGGGUUAUGUACAGAUGAAUUCAACCCAUUCAGGUCAUUUGUUGAUCCUUAUUCUUGUUGGCCGAUUAUACUCACGGUUUACAACUUACCACUCUUAUGGCAACAGUUGCUCCUUCUUCACAAUACUUAUGGAACAAAGACUUGUUAAGUGCUUGACUAACGGACUGUUUUUCUCAAAGCUUUUAGUUUGGUUGACCUGAAACUUUGUUUUCGUAGCAAUCCCCAUCAACGGAAACUACGAUCAAACUGUGUACAAUUUGGUUAUCUUGAAAUCGCAAUCUAGUGAUUUGCUUAAUCCAAAACCAAAAUCAAUGCCAAAGUUCGGUCAACCUGAGAUCCCAAUUUGGCGAUCCGCUUUAACUAGAACUAAAAUAUGAAAAGUAGCUCGGUAACCUGAAAUCCCAAUCUGGCGAUUCACUUUAACCAGAACCUUGGUCUUUGUCGUUAAGUUGGUCAACCUAAAAUCCCAAUACGACGAUUCUCUUUAAUAAGAACCAAAAUGUCGCCUUUAGCUUAGUUAAUCUGAAAUCUCAAUCUAGAGACCCCCUUUAACCAAAACCUUGGUCUUUAUCCUUAGCUCGGUCAACCUGAGAUCCCAAUCUAGUGAUUUCCUUUAACCAAAACCAAAAUGUCACCUUAAGCUUGGUUAACCUGAAAUCUCAAUCUACAGAUCCCCUUUAAUCAGAACCUUGAUCUUUGUCUUUAGCUCAGUCAACUUGAGAUCCUAAUCUAGCUAUUCCCUUUAAUUAGAACAAAAAUGUCACCUUCAGCAUGGUUAACCUGAAAUCUCAAUCUAGAGACCCCCUUUAACCAGAACCUUGGUCUUUGUCUUCAGUUCGGCAAACCUAAAAUCCCAAUCUGAUGAUUCGUUUUAACCAGAACCAAAAUGUUGCCUUAAGCUUGGUUAACCUAAAAUCUCAAUAUAGAGACCCCCUUUAACUAAAACCUUGGUCUUUGUCUUUAGCUCAUUCAACCUGAGAUCCCAAUCCGACAAUCCUAUUUAACUAGAACCAAAAUGUUUCUUUCAGUUUGGUUAACCUGAAAUCUCAAUCGAGUGACUCCCUUUAAUCAAGCGAUUCCCUUUAACUAAAACCAAAAUGUUGCCUUCAACUCGGUUAACCUAAAAUCUCAAUUUAGAGACCCCUCUUUAACUAGAACCUUAGUCUUUUUUUUUUAGCUCGGUCAACUUGAGAUCCCAAUCUUAUGAUCCCAUUUAACAAGAACCAAAAUAUUGCCUUCAACUCGGUUAACCUAAAAUCUCAAUUUAGGGAACUCUCUUUAACUAGAACCUUAGUCUUUUUCUUUAGCUCGGUCAACUUGAGAUUCCAAUCCUACGAAUCUUGAAACAUCAUCCCCUUCUUAGUCCUACUUUGAUUUGCCAAAAAAAUGGAAAAGAAUGAAUGAUAUGGUGGAGAACUAGACCGGUCUUUACCAUUGGCUAGAACCAACCAUAGGCUGCUUAGAAAGCAACCUUCAACACCUAAAAACAAACCACCACAUAACAACCCUGCAAUUAUCAACAACAACAUCUAGUUCUAGCUACCUAGUCUAUGUCAAAGAAUAGAAUCUGAGGCAACUUUUUGACCAAAAUUCCAUUCUCUAUUAUUCCUUCAAUAUUGGGGUUUAAUGCAAGCAACUUGUUUAUUCGGAUUUGAGAUGUAAAUAGAUUUUAAUUUUGUUAGGAUGAGGUGGUCAGGUUGCGUCACAUUGAUUAUGUCAUGAAGUUAACUAGAGUAAGAAAUAAAGAUAUCAAGUUUCGGAGAGAAUCAAGAUCAGUUAAAGCAAAAAAAAAAAAAAACAGAUUAUGAAAAUAAAUUGGAAACGAAAAGUUUAGUUAUAAGGAAUUAGAUUCACAAACAAAUUUAAGUCUCAUCAAUUCUAGGAAACAAGUUGGAAGGAAUCAAUUUUACAAAAAUUGACCUUCGCACUAGAGAGAACCUUCGAGCCACUUCAAAUGUACUGAAGGCCAUUUGUUUGCCAUAUGUGCUAAUUAAGAACAUAAUUCUAUUCUUUUGUGAGUUAAUAUUCUGUAAAAUAAGCUUGGAAUAGCUUGCGGGGGCUUGGCUCAGAGAUCAUUGAGUUUUUACUACAAAUUGCCUUUUAAUUUUUUUCCACCUGUAAUUGGAUUCGAUAAGUUUCCCUUUUGUUUACAUAUGAAGAACAAACAUUGCUUGAGGUUAUCCAAUGCCGAGAUCAAGGUCAGAUAAUACUAGCGAACCCCUAAUCAGGAUUAAGAAGCAAAAAAAAUGUUAAGUGCAGCUUAUCCAAUGCCGAGACCAAGGUCAGAUAAUAUCCUGAUUGUGCUUAUUGCCAUUAAUUAGAAACUGCAAUAUCGUCACAUAAUUAAACUGAGAUUAUUCUGAUUAGAGAACAGAAGGAAUCUUCUUUCAUAAUUGGCUUUUGCGAAGGUUUAGUGUUUUUGCUGCUACUGCUUUUGGACCUGACUUGAUUCCUGAUCGGUCGAAAAAGCAUUAGUCCAAAAGCAGGGAAGCUUUUGUUUUCUUUAAUCACAUGAUCAGAUAUUAUAAUUUAUGCCCAACACAAAUUCAUAAAAGUGGCUCUAAGAUUGGCUGACAACAGUUGUUAAUGAGCAGUGUUUGCAUCCCUUAUUUUUCAGUUUACUAAGUAUUUAGAACAUUCAAUUCCAAUCCAAAGUCGAUAAUAAUAAACUCUUGGUAAUGGUUUUGUCAUCGAUGGUGAUCGGACGACAAAAAAACCAGUAAAAUUGUUUUAUAUAAAAAGUUUAUUAAGUAUUGAAAACAUCCAAAUCUAACAUGUUUUACUUUUUUGUGUUUAAAUAUGAUAUUAAUAAACUUUUGGUGAUAUUUUUUUUUUCAUUUUGUGAUGCUUUUAUCGUCAGUAGUGAUAAGAUGAAGAAAAGCUAUUGAUUUUUCUCUCAGCAAUGGUUUGUUUUAUCGUACACAAAUGUUGGGUGCUUUUAUUUACAAAAAGGAGUACUGUCUACCAUUAUUCAUUCCACAGCUGUUGUCAACCAAACCUUUCCUUUCUAUAUAAAGGUGGCUUGGCCUCCUACAUAUUAGCCAAAGCAAGAAAACCAACAAAACCUAUAAACAGCUACUUGUCUUUGUGUGUUGAUUAAUUGUAGUUAACAUGGCACGUCAGGCAGAUCGUCUUGUUAAGAUUGGGCAGGAGGGUUUUGCAACCAUUGAUGAGCACUUCGGCCGGGCCAAGAGGCGGCCACCAGUUAUGAAGGUUCCCUAUGCUCAUCCCACAUAUUACUAUGCAACAGAAGUUAUCGACAGCAACGAGGCAGCUCAACGCUACAAGGGGAGGGUUUAUGUCGAUUACCCUAAGGGUAAACCAGUUCCGUUUUAAAGACCUAUUGAUUAAUCACUUAGCUUUCUUGUAUGCAUAACCUCCUCCAGUUGUGUUACCUUUAGUCCUGUACGAUAUUCUCCCUCUGCUAAACGUAGACGAGGAGAGGUUGCUAGAACUCGAGUCAGGAGCUUCUUCUUACUUCUUCAAAUAAACUUUCUGUGAUUUAUAUAUCAUUUUCUAUUUGUAUGUAUUGUCAUAAUUAUCUUUCUUACUUCCUCAUUAUCAC